rnacentral:lncRNA from 1 species
CGCCGGGAACUCCGCCGGUGGCGACGGCGGAGGGAGGCGGGAAGGUUGGGCUCAAUGUGGAUGGAGAUGGAGAUGGAGAAGGAAAGUGAGGUGGAUUGAGAUUUUUAAUAUUUAGUCAAUGUCCUGGCUACAUAAAAAAUUAAAAAUAAUAGGAAUUGAUCAUCCAGUCAACACUUUCAUUCCGUCUCAUGAAGUUCUCCUCAUGUGAAGACUAAACGCAAUGAAUGACAACCUCCUCCCGGCACUUCUCUUUUAUGGGUCGAAUCCUCAGGCACUUGAAAAUGCACGAUGUCGACCCAAAUAUGAUUGUUUUGACCUUCUUCUUUUUUUUAUUACAGCUUCCAUGCAAGUUUUGUUUUGUUUUUUUUUUUUCCUGACGGAGGGAAUUUUUUUUUUUAUUCUCAUAAUUCUGCGCAAUUCUUUCUAUUGUUUUAUGUGAGUAGAAUGUUUAAUUAUAACAAGUAUCUACACAUUUGUUUACUUUUUAAUUGUAAGAAUUAUCAUUAAUUAUUUAUUUAUACUGUCAUUUGCAUGUAUAAGUUAUAUUUUAAUACCAAGCCCCGCAUUCUAAGAAUAUUUCAAAAAGUCAUUAUAACACUCAAUCAACAAUACUAAUAAAUUUGGGAAAGUAUGAAAAUAAUCAUCUAAUCUUUUGGUAGUGAUAAGUUGUAAUAGCGUUAAUUUCAUUUUAAUAUCAAAUAUGAGCUGUCAUAUACUAAUUGAUAGAUUUAAGGAAGUGUGGAAAGUCAAUUCUUUUUUUUUUUUUGGUGACAGGUCAUAAUUGCAUUAAUUAUAUUGUAACCAAAUGAAAAAUAUCAAUACUUACUUUUCAAUGAAUAAUUCAUUGGAGGUCAUGAUGUAUUAAAAAAAAAUCUUGAUUUUCUCCAUACAAACAAAAUGCGAUCAGCGGGUGCACACCCACUUUUUGUCAAGGGGUGGAUCACUCGGUACACUGCAAGGUUCUAUUUUAUUUUUCCACCUCAAAUUUGAAUAAAUAUUAUUUCAAGGAUGUUAUUAAUGGUCCAAUGUAAAACUAGUAAAUUGACCCAACUUGUGUUUGCUGAGAUCAUAACAUUAUGUUAUUUAUUCAAGUCGUUAUGUUGCCCAUGCCUAUUAAGAAAUUAUUUUCUUUCAAUACAAAAAAUUUCCAUGCAUAAAAAAGAAAAAGGUUGUGAACAAUUGAAGUUACUAUAAUUUUUUUUUUUAUAUCGGGUUCGCCAUAUAAAUUUCAUGACUCUUCUCUGCAGUGAAUUGUAUUAAUUUGAAGAUUCAUAAGUACUGUUCGCAAUUUAGUAUGAAUAAUUAGCAGUGCUCAUGGUAAAUAGAGGAAAUAAUGUUGAGCCAAGCAUUAGUUUCAUCCAUUCCUUAUUCAAUACAUACACUGCUUAAGUUCUUCGCACCCACUAUUCAUAUCCUUAGUUGACUAGCUCAUCAUCACCAUGCCCUUGCUUUUUCUCUAAUUGUUAUGCAUGUUCACCUUGAAGCAAACAAAUCUAAAACAUAACUGAUCUUUGCCAACUAACAUAACGGAAAUUUUCAGCUUGUAUCACUGAAUCUAAAUGUUGCUCUUUUCAAUAGUUCUAUCGGACUGCCUAGCAAGCUCCCUAAAAUUUUUGCCAGUCUUCGUGCUUAUUCAUUACAAAAAUACAACUUGUCAUGCCUCCAUGGAACCAACAUUGUUUUGCGGGAUUCAUAUUAUGUUCUUCUUCGUCUUUGUCCUCAUUUAAUUGCAUAGAGAAACAGUUGAGUGAGUUAUCAUUGAUGUUUAGUCAACGGCUCCAUUCAUGCAUUAGCAUAAAUAGGAGGGCUCUCAUUUCUUUCUCUUUCAAUUUUGCAUUGUAGGUUUUCUUAUGCUUUAGAUGCUCUUGCAUUCAACUGGAAAUAGCGCCUCUCUCUCUCUCUGUGAUUGUGACAUAAGAGCUACUAUAAAAAAGAAAAAGAAAAAUGAGGACUUAGGAGGAGGGGGAUUAGGAUGAAGUUGAAAGGUACAGAACCAGUCUUAGCAACCAUUUGAACGAACCCAAGUUCCAUGUGCAUAAGGCCUAUCAGCCUAAUUCCCGGACUUUUAAGUUAUCGCUAUGAUUUGCCAAGUAAUUAAGAAAAGUCAACAUUGUCUGGUCACUCCAAAAUCUUAUAAAUGCAUUUAUAAUUUCAUGUUUGUUGCAAUGCAUUAUCUCUAGCCUUAGUCUUCAAUCAACUUGUAUAAAGGCAUCAAUCAACCCCUCUCUAUUUAUGUCACUAAUGAGAUCUUGACUUCUCAUGAUUUGUGAGAAUGAGGGAAGUCUGGAAAUUUCUUCUUUACGGUCAUAACUCAAUGCAAUCACAUUCAUUGUGUCAUUUUUUUUCUCAAUAUGGCAGGUACAAUUUCCUCAACUUAUGCAGAUGGAUCUUUCCCACAUGGACAAUUUAAGCAAAAUAUGGACUGACGGUCCUCUAGAAACUCUGACUUUUGAUUGUUUAUGGGAAGUGAAGGUUCUGAAUUGUAAGAGCCUUGAAAAUUUGUUUCCAUAUUGGGUGGCUACAAGUUUAACCAAACUUGGAAAACUUCAAGUGGAGUCUUGUGAGAUUGAGGAAAUAGUCGCUAGUGGGGAUGACACUCCACGCUCCAAUACUACUCAAGAUCUUUUCCCAAAACUAACCUCUCUGGUGUUACAUGACAUGCCACGACUCAAGAGCUUUUGUCCUAACUUGCCUUUGAAUUUGCCAUUAUUGAAGGAAUUACAAGUGACUCAUUGUGAAAAACUGAGCAUGUUAUCCUUUGUGGCAUCCAUGAACAGAUGGGCUCAAAGAGAUGAUCAACAAGACCUUUCAGAUCAAGAAGCACACUCUUCAUUUGAGAGGGUAUGAUUAUAGUUGCUCUCCCUUAGUUUCUACUUUGUUCUUUAAAGCAGUCACUAAUAUCAUAUCCAUUGCAUAUCAUGUCGCGUUAUGAUGUUAUAGAAAACAUGAUCUCCCCUACCUAUUAGUUUGUCGACAACAUUAAGAUAUUUCUAAUAUCUUACGUACACUUCCAUUUGUGGACAUGCAUAAGAUAUUCCAUUACCUAGAGUUACAAAAAAAAAUUUACAGUAUUCUAUUGAUAACAGAAUAUAUUCCUAAUCUAACCUAAUGGUGCUCUUGGGCAACAUCAAUAAGGAUUUGACAAGAGGCCCUCUCCAUUAUUGACACGUGUUGCACACUUGAACUUUUCUUCUCUAUUUCAUCUUCUACAAACUCUAAAAAAAUUAAUUCAAACAAUUUUUUUUUAUAACACAAAUAACAUUAGUACCUUAGUGCACUAUUUUCUACUGUAUAUUUUAAUACACUAGUCGUCGUGUUAUCCUGUUAUAAUACUAUAGAAAACUAGAAUCCCUUUCCUAUAAGUUUGCAGACAACAUAAGAUAUUUCUUAUAUCUUAAGCAUACUUCUGAAUUUGUGGACCCCGUAUGUUUUAGUGACAUCUUGAGUGCAUCCCAUUACAUAAGAUUCCAAAGAAGAUAAAUUUUUGUCAACAAGAUAAGAUAUUCCUUACAAAAGAUGAAUUUAGUGAGUGCAGGGAUCUUGAAUUUAGAUUCACUCUAUCCACUUGACCAGACCAACCUCUACAUGAGACUUUUAAAAGCUUGAGUCUUGAACACAAGGUUCUUGAGAUAUAAUGAACUUUAAGAAGAGGACCACCUUCCAUGCGAAUCAUCUUAAUAGGUUUACCUUUUACAGCACAUGAUUUAUUGUCGAAACUUUGUUGAAUUUACUUCUCUUGUUGUAUUGGCAAUUCGACAGGACUUUCCCAACUUGGAGAGACUUUUAUUAGUCAAUAACAAUAUUCAGAUGAUACAAGAUGGAAAUUUUCCGGAUGACAUGUUUAGCAAGCUAGAAGCACUAACACUAGCAUGCUUUCAUGAUAAAAAGGCCGCCUUUCCUUCCAUAUUCCUCCUAGAGAGAUUUCAGAAUUUACAAAGCCUUGAAGUCUUAUGUAGCUCCUUUGAAGAUUUAUUCCCGAACGAAGGGCUUGUUGAAGAAAGGAAACAUCCGGUGCUUGAAAAUUUAAGAGAACUUAAGUUGAACAAGCUACACAACUUAAAGUGUGUGUGGAGAGAAGACUCUUUAGUGUCGAAAAUUCUUCAGAGCAUCGAAACAUUUGAGGUUUGGGAUUGUCCCUGUUUGACAACAAUAUUUCCAACCGAGACAUCCUUCCAGAAUCUGAGAGAUUUAGUGGUGAAGAAUUCCUCUAGAUUGGUACAUCUAGUAACGAUUUCGGCAGUCACAAAUUUGGUACAUCUCAAUUUUAUGACUAUAAUAGGAUGUGAAAGAAUGAAAGAAGUAGUGACCGACGAUGGAAGCAGAGAAGGAAAAGUGAUUUCUUUUGAAAAGCUAAUAUGGUUGACACUUGAACAUCUGCCAAACUUAGAAUGCUUCUCUUCCAUCCCAAGUUGCAUAUUUAGGUUCCCAUCUUUAAGGAGAAUUAAAGUGGAAGAGUGCCCGAAAAUGAAGAUCUUUUCUAAGGGUACACUAAGCACACCAAAACUAAAUUCCGUGACACUAUUCAGAUACAAGUGGAAAGGGAAUUGGGAGAAGGGUGAUGAUCUCAAUACAACCAUACAGAAGUUAUCAGCAUAAAUCAAUGCACAUAGAAUUGGUAAGAUCCAAUAGAUGUCAUUCUCUCAUCCAUUUUUUUUUCUUUAGUCUUUCGGCAGCGCCGCAACUUUUUAAUAUUUUUUUUUUGUGACUUUUCUAUUAUUGAUUUCGUCAAAUCAACGUCACCGUCAACCCUAUCGAUGAUCUCGGCUCAUCCUUAACUGAACAGUAGGAAGCAAAGCGGGUCUCUCCUUCUCCUUCUUGACGCCAAAGGCUCUUUCUCCAUCUUUCUUCUUCUUCUUCCUCCUCCGUGGAGCGAAAUUGGGGGAAGCCUCUGCUGCCUUCACAACGGACGGAGCAAAAAUGAAGCAUCAGGAAUUGCCAGGACUGCGAGAAGCGAAGCUGCAAUUAGCGGAGCGGAGCCAAGUAGAUUCAACCAGACGCUGUCGUUGUCGCCGUCGUCACCGCCGGAGGUGGCACAACCGAGUCUGGACAGUUAGUCGUCCACUCACUUCAUCAAAGAAGAAGAAGAUCACACUCUCUCUCCGCAUCUGUAUCCGACAAAUGGUAAGUUCAUGUUUCUUCCGAUUUCGGUGUAUUAUUGUGCGUGAAUUAGGGCUCUCUUCUUCAAAUUCGUUCCACAUUCGAGUCUAAAAGCAGGAGUUCCUCAAACUAGCAAUUUAUUGCCCUUAAAUCUACAUCUUCUGUGCUGCCCUCCCGAGCAUUGGCGAGAUUUCUGCGUGUUUGACCUCUCAUAGAUGGAGAUGAUAUAUUGUGUUCAAGGUCUCAUGUUGAAAUUUCUUUAGGGAGAGAUAUCUCUGUAACAUCAUAUACAAAUUUCUAUCAGGAAAAAGGGAGAAAUCAUGGAACUUGAAAAUAUUCCGAGAAUUCCAUGCCUUGUCAAAAAUCUGAAAUGUCACUUUUGCGCCUUGAUCGCAAUAUAGUUUGGAUUGUCUGAAGAAUCACCUGUAAUCUUGAUUGGUUAAGUGAUGCUGGAAGGAUAAAUUUAUCUCCAAUUUAUACUAAAAUCUUUUCAUAGCAAGUCAAAUUAAUGAAGUGUACUUAAACUGUCUCUAAAGUUAUCGUUUAAGUACAGGCUGGUCCAAACAUUUGAGCAAAUUGAGGCAUCCUGAGCUGAUUUUUUAAGGUCCCAUGCCCCCAAGGCCUCUCACUUCUUACAUCGGCCAACAAAUUUCAAAUGGAGCAUCCCAAUGGAGCAUCCCUUUUUCAAAGGUGGUGAGGAGGCCCUCUUAUGUUGACUUUGGCUUGGUAUGAUCCCACGCUCAUUGACCCAAACUCGCAUGUCUGAAAAUCAAACAUAUGGAUGCUGUUUAUAUCUUUGCUUAUACUCUAGUGUAUUUCCAAGUUGACUUAAUGCAGUAAACAACAUGACAUGUUAUAUUCCUUGAAUUGUUCAUGGGUAUAUGUUUGAAACCAGGUAUAUGUCUUAACAAUGGAGUAAUUGAAGCAGGGGAAACAAUGAAAGGACGGUUAGUGGGACUUAAACUGGUGGUUGAGGUUUGAAAGAAUAACAUUUGUCCCCUUUUUGUCAAUACACGUGUUGGAAAGCAAUUGCUGAGGCAAGUCCAAAGAAUUAGAAUCCAAUUCCUCUUAUAUGGAGGAACUUGACAAUGUUAUUCAAUGCUGUAAAAGUAGAAUAUAUAUGUAAAUCACACGAGGAGACUAGUUGAUACGGACAAGCAAAUUGCAAAGAAUGUCACUAUCUCCAUAACUAGAGGGAAAGACCUGAAAGAUAAGGGGGUGGCUAGUUAUGGUUCUGAAAUUUCAUUGUAGAUCUAAUGACUGAUAAUUUUGUUUCCAAAUAGGGGAUACUAUUUUAUUUUGUUACAUUAAUCGGAAAUUUGAGAAAAAAAGAUGAGUUUACUCUGUCAAAUUGAUUCAGUAUUUUGAUAAAAUUUGAGUUGCGCUUGAAAUAAUUGAACAGCUUAGAUUAAAAUUUUUCACUUCCAUCCGUGUUCCGGUCAUUGAUGUCUUUGCCUUUUCCCCUGCUCUUGUGGUUUGUGUGGCUUAAAUUCAUCGUUUCAAAUAUAUACGGGACAUGGAAGGCUUUUUCUGGUCAUGUACCCUAUUGCACCUAGGAGCGUAUAUUUUGUCAUUUGACUUUGGGUUGCAGUCUGAGAUUGUCUACUAUCACUAUAAGGUUUAUUGUCAAUUAAAACUCCUAAAAGUAGCAACUACUGCCUUAUAUUCACGCUGUGUGAUUAGAUUCUCUCAUUAGUGUAUGCUUAUGUUUUGGUCUUUCUUCACCAGAAGUUGGUUUUCAACCACAUAAAUGAGGAGACUACUCCUGUUCAAUUCAUCAGGCAACAUAAUCAGGAAAACAAGGUAAUUGCAACUCUCAGGUAUUCAGACAGGUCGUGGACGGUGAAGCUCAGGAGCCGUGGACUUUUUUUUUCGCUGCUUGACACCCAAUUGCUAGAGAAGCUCGUUUGCAUUUAAGAGAUGUUUGUGUGUUUGAGCUCAUUGAUAGGGGGGAUGUGUGUUUAGAGUCUACAUUUCCACUAGUACUGGUAAGGACUUGGUUUACGUUGACAGAAAUGAAUUUUGGAAGUGUCACUUUAGAUAGUCCAAAAUAAAUUCAGUAUUCAUAGUUAUAUCUCUUUGUUUAGUCUUGGUGAAUCAAUGAAGUGUACGUCUUCCAUUCCCAUUGGGUUUGUGAGUUUCACAAUAAUCCAGAUGCACACUCAUUAAUGCUACAUCCCAAGUCUAAAUUAACCAAAAAGAAUGUGCUUCAAUGUCAAAGCGAAAAUUAUAACCUAAACGCUUAGCAUGAGAAUUUAGAGGUGUGACUUGUUGGUUUCUAAGUUGCGCUUUUCUGCACAGUGUUGCAUUCUUUUUCUUGGUCUGUCUCAAAAGUUAUGAAAUUUUCCUGAUAAGAUUUUGUAUAUUGAUGGGUGACAUUACAAUUUAGGAGAUGCCAAGUGUAGCUAAUGUGUUUUGUCUAACGUGAAAAACAUGUAAACGUUAGUAACAUGAUUGGAUGCAUUGAUUUGUAGAUCGUUGUAACUUGACAGAAGAUUUACAGCAGUACCUAUGAAAACUCUCCUUUUUCUUUUGGACCAAACAAUCUAAAUGUCAAGUGAGCCCCCAUGAGCAGUUUUGCAUGGUUCCAUGUUUCUGUGGCCUCCCCUGCUCUUGAAAAAACUAGAAAAUUUGAAUCGAAGUAUCCAUCUCUGAAAUUGGUGAUGCGGCCACUAUUAUCAAGGAUAGAACUGUGGUGUGGCCCCUAUGUCCUUUCAUAAUUGGCAUAGCUCAACCAUGAUGCCUUCUACAUCUUUCCCUUUAGUUGACUCUUUUCCCAAGUCGUUUUAAAUUUUUCAUAGGAAUCACAUUAGAUGUUAUUUUCUUUGGAGUGUUCAUGGCUUUAUCUGUAAAACCGGGGCAGUUUUGAUUUUGAAAUUUUAUUUUUUAAAUUUAUGGAUUCAUAAGAUGACCAAUUCUAAAAUGAAAGAUUCUAUUCUCGUUUUUUUUUUCCAGUAAUCAGUUGUAAAGAAGAUUACAUUAUAUAUAGACUAAGAGGAUGUGGUGGGGACGAUCAGUGUUAGCAACUCUUGAACUUUUGUCAUGAGAGUUAAAAAAUUAUGUACACUACUGUAGAGUCUACAAGCACUGUAUUGUGAAAUCUUAACUUCAAGUUGCAGGUUGGGAUUGAAGACUUCUAUUACCCAGUUAACACUAUUAAUUGAACUCCCUGAAACUAGUAAAUACUAGCAUAAAUUUACAUUUGUUUGCGUUUUCCAUUUAUUAUUUCUUUGUAUUUAUUCUUUUCCUCAUUAUACUACAUUGGUAGUGUUCCUUGUGAAUUCAUAAAGAAACAUUCAGAAGAACUAGCAAAUUGCAACUCUUAGGUAUUUGAACAAAUUAUGGCUGGUGCAGCUCGAGACCUAUCAACUCCAUUAUGUAGCUGGUCGGGCCGCAUUUGUGAAAGAAGCUUGUCUGGAUGAAGGGGAUGUCCGCAUGUUUGAGCUCAUUGAUAGGGACGAUUUUAUGGUCAAUCUCCAUCUCCAAUUAUGCUAGUAAGGACCUCAUUUAGGUUGAUUGAGAUGGACAUUGGAAGUGUCGCCUGCAAGCUAUGACAAAUCAAUUGGAAGUGCACUUACUUUUAGCUUUGCGUCUCUUUCUUGACCUGCUUACAGUCUUACCAGAAUUCUCCUCUUUUUUUUUUCUUUGUGCAGGUCAGAACAGAUAGUCUAAAUGUCCAGUGAGCCCUCUUGAGCAGCCUUUUCAUGGUUUCAAUUGUCCGAGGCCUCUCACUGCCCUUUAGAAUGCUGGAGAAUUCAAGUUAGAGUAUCCCUUUUUCCAGAUGGUGACAUGGCCAUCUUUUCUUAAGAAAGAAAUAAUGGUGAGGCCCAGAUCUCCAUUCAUAACUGGCAUAUCUCAAUUAUGAAUGCCACCUAUUUUAUAUAUGUGCCCUAUUGUGCAAUUUUUUCCUGCAUUAAUUUGCUUUCUAUAGAAACACAGGAUAUAUUAUCUUCCUUGAAGUGGUCAUGGUUAUAUGUUUAAAACAGGCUCCUUAACAACUAAAGGGACUAGGGAAAAACAAUAAGUCAGACAGUAAUCAGGAAAUUACCUAGUGAUAGGUGGGUGUGGAGACAAGGUCAGAGGGUUGAGACAGGCAAUAACAACCAUAAAUUAGGAAUUUAAUGAUUUCUAAUUGAAGUAUAAAUUCUUCCCAAAGAUUACUACUUGGCACUUUCUCUGUCUUCUAGUUUAAGUAUAAAUUCCUUCCAAAAAUGACUACUUGGUACUUUCUUUGGCUGCCUAGGCUUGGGAAGAAGAGGCGACACGAAAUGUCCAGCUUAAGCAAUAGCUAUUGCAACAGGCCUAGGCUUGGCAUGACUAGGCUCACUGCAACAGCACGGCAACACUAAUCGGGAUAUUGCUUCCUGGCAACAAAUGGUUUACAAGAGCUACUAUUGCAAGCAAGUUCAAACUUGCGAUCAGAAAUGAAGUGAAGGUAGUGUGACCCUAGACCUCGAAAAUGAGUCCCACCACCUCCGUAGUAUGAAAAAAAGAAAGGCAGCUAAUUUUUUUUUUUGCCAGGCGAAUGAAGAUCACUUUUUGUGUAUAUGUAUCCAUCUAGGAUGCUAGGCGUAGCUUUUCAUGUUUGUUCAAUGCGUAUCGCAAUGUGAGAUUGGUGACUUGGAAAUCCACCAGAUUUGUGCAUGUCUCUAUAUUGAUCACACAUACUUAGCGUAGAGUCUAAGAGCACAGGAUUGUGAUAUUUUGAUUUCAGAUUGCAAGUUGUGACUAAAGACCAUCUCAUCAAGCCUUUUAGACUGCUAAUACGGAUCUCCAGAAAUUCCAAAUACUAUCAUAAAUGUACAUCUUGUUUGCCUUUUCACUUUAGUGUAUGCUUACAUUUCUUUGUCUUAUCAUACAUUGGCUGGUCAAAUGUCUUCAUGGGCAGAGCGUUCCUUAUAAAUUUAUAGAGACAUGCAGUCAAGAAAACCAGCAAAUUGCUAUUCUUAGGUAUUCAGACACAUUGUGGCUGGUGACCAUCAGGAGCUAUCAGCGCUACGCUGCAGUGAACUUCUCUAUUGGUUGGUCCAAGUUUGUGAGAGAAACUUAGUCUUGAAUGAAGGGCAUAUCUGCAUGUUUGAGCUCCUUGAUAGGGAUGAUUUUUAGGUUGAAUUGGGACGUGAACACUGGAAGUGUCACUUUAGGCCAUAUACUAGUUAGAAGCGAUCUAUGCCUCUUUUCUGUUGUGAUGAACCGGAUAAAAGUCCCUUUUAUUUCUGACUGCUUUUUUCUGAACUAGUUACAAUCUUAUAAUUUCUAGGCCUAGCCACUCCAUUUAUCGGAUAUUGUGAUGAAUAGCCUUGCACACAUUUUUUACUUUGGGUAUUUCUCUUGCGCUUGUAACGCUUUUAUCAUUGCCUUCUUGGAAAGGACCUUAGUUCAGCAUUAUCGUGGUUCUGGUUAUUCGACCUGGUUUCGUAGAACAAAUGAAAUUUAUGCAGUAUGCCAUCAGUCAUGGUCGCUUGAUAGUUUUCAAAAAUGGGAGAGAUAGACUCUAUACUCAUGUAAUUAUAUUUGAUUAAAGUGCUUAUAUAGAUACAUUAUCCCCUCAAGCAGGAUGAAAUAUAAAACCCAGAGGGCGAAUUCCUCUCGAGAAAAUGGGAAGAAUCUAAAGACCUCACAGUCCUUGAAGAUUCAGAGGGUUCCUGGCCAUGUUGGAAGCCAUUGGCUAAACUGCAUUUACCUUCUUAUCUGCCUUCUACGGUGAUGAAUUCGUUUUCAAUUUGUGAGUUUCAAAGUGAUUAAAUUGCACACUCAUUCUUUACCAAAAAAAAAAAAAAAUUGCACACUCAUUGAUGCGAGUUUUCAAAAUAAUAUGCUUGGAACCAAAAAGGACUAAGUUUCGAACGUCAAAGAGUGACAGAAGUUCCAAAUUGUUCCUCAAGAUUUGGAGGAGCGAGCACACGACAUAGUUUUCUUAGUCACUCUUCAAAUUUUUAAAAAUUUGAUGAGAAGCUUUUGGUAUGUUAGUUGAUGGCAUUGAUUUGGGUGUUCGAAGUUGUAGUCAAUCAGUUUUAUCUAAUACGAAGAGCGUGCAAACUUCUGUUUUAUGUUCACAUUCGUUGAUUUCCAAACUAUGCUGGAUCUUUUCAUAGUAAAUCGAAAAAAUUCACAUAUGUGCCCAUGAGAGUUCUUUUUUUAACCGGAGGUCAGACCAAACAGCCUAAAUGCCCAGUGAACCCUGUUGAGCCGGUUUUUCAGUGUUUUACUUGUCCAAGGCCUCUCACUGCACUUGAAAAAGCUUAGAGAAUUUGAGUCAGAAUAUCCCUUUUUCAAAAUGGUGAUAUGGCAAUUUCUUGUCAUGAAAGGAAAAGAACUGUACAUUCCUCAUCUCCAUUCAUCAUUGGCAUACUUCAAAUAUGAGACAACGUGACAUGUUAUUUUCGUUGAAGUGUUUGGGGCCAACCGACCAUCCUAAUGGCCGAGUAAUGGAACUUGGUAAAAUGGCAAUCAAAAUGGUAAUUGUGAUACAACCUUCAUGGUUGUGUGUGUCGAUUCAGAUUAUUAACUAGUUCGUCUACCUUGAAACAAUCUACUUCUCUAGUUGCUCCAUCAAGUUGUCUUUUGCUCCCUUUUUACAAGUGGAAAUCAAGAUGUGGAUUUUUUUAAAUAAUAUUUCAAUAUUUUUUGAAUUUUUUUUAUAAUUUUGUUAUUUUCUUUUCUUCUUUUUUUCUUGCCCUUAGGGUCGGCCUGGAUGUAGGCGCGCAGCACCUCACCCAGACCAAGUGAGGGCUGGUGAGGGUGUGCAAGGAAAAAAAAGCAACUAAAAGAACCAAAAGAAAAAGAAGAUAAAAAAUUCAAAAAAAUUAAAAUAUUAUAAAAUGUCCACAUCACUUUCAGCAGUGUCAUGUCAGCGCCAGCUGAUCAAUAUUAGUAGAAUGGACUUAACUGGCACAAAUGCGAAAAGUUUAGAAUUGUAUUGACAAAAAAAAGAAAGAUUCAAUUAGCACAAUUAUAAUAAGUUUAUGAGUUUUUUGAUAAUUCUCCCGACAUUGUUUUCUUAUUAGUGAAUUUUUUCUCGCAAUUCAAGGUACAAAACGGCAUUGUUCUUCAGAAAAGCUUGAAAACGUAUAUAUAUUAAAAUAAUUUUGUGAGAACGAAAUAUCUUUUUUAUCAAGGAAUAGAAAAGGAAAAGGAAAGAAAAGCAAACAAGAAAAUAAAAAUAAGAAAAAUUACUCUUUGCCAUGCCAACCCUAACCUAAAGGUAACAAACUGUCAACACGAUACAACUUUUAUUUAUAUCACAAGAUUUUAUAUGCUCUUCGUCCAUUUAUUACUUGUCAACUUUUCCGGACUUGAUACAUCAUGACCCUUUUCCUCUUUCUUUCUUGAUUCAACAAUAGGGGAAGAAAAAAACACAUUGGACCCUUUUCUGCAAAGAUGGACUCGCGGUCUUGUCCAAAUAUGAACUAAUCGAUUAAUUGCUCAUUGAAUUCAUGUUGCUCGCAUCUAAUUCUAUAGUCAAAAAACUGAAGCUAUGCUUCGGCAUUGAGCGUGCACAACUCUUUAAUUUGACCACAAGCGAAAUCCAUGCAAGUAGUACGGUCCGACUACCCCAGCACGGUAGCACACUUUCCACGGCCGAAGCAUCUGGCGUUGCUGUAAGAGGCACUGGUGCAUUAGUUGAAUCCCCCGAUCGCGGUGUCAAACCUAAGAUCGGUCAAGACUUGACCCGAAGCUUGUGCAUAAUCGUUCGGGUAUUGCAUGCCGUUGCAUAUCUUGCAUAACUUGUACAUAAGCAUCACAUCCAGGUCACUUCUUACAAGUCAGACCCCCACAGAAGCCCCAUGAACAUAAGUGUGAGUGUAAUGAGGUGGACAAGGUCAUCCUAGAGCCCGUUUCCUCCCGUUUGGUUCUCUUUGGUUUGCCACGAGGAAACACACAACACACAAUUGAGUUUGGCUAUAAAAAGGGUUUGUCUCCAUAGUGCUAUCCAUCAUUUAUUCUUUGUUAUUAGGCUAAGCCAUUACCAAGUUUAGUCAUUUAUGACGUCACAUGGAUUUUAAUUGAUAAAUUUCAGAGCUUUUUCUAUGAAUUAUUUGUUCUUUAGUGUAAUAUGUCGUUGCCGUCCUUGCAAACCCUAAUCUCAUAAUUUUUAAUGAAAUUUCCCCCCUCUCUCUUACUAUGCAUGAAAAAUUUAAAAUUGGGAUCCUUUUAAGUCUACGAAAUAAAUUCACAUUAUGAUAAAUGACUCACUUCUUCUUUGUCUGUCCUCUUUCUCCUCUUAUUUUGCAUAGACUUGUCAGCCUCAUGUACUAGUCUUGAAUAUAUUUCUAUAUGUGACAUUGUAAAUUUUAGGUCAUGUAAUUAAUGGAGUUCAUGAAUUUUUUUUUUUUUGAACAGAGAGUUCAUGAUAGUUAUAUAACCCAAAUAACACAAUACUUCUACUACUGCUAAUACUACUACUAGGAGUGUAUUAAAAAAAGAAAAAAGAAAAAAAAAGUCCGAAAACCCGGAUCGAAUCAUCCAAAUUGGCCUGAUAAAUUUGGGCUCAAAUAGUCUUGGGCCGGCCCACUGGCCUCAAACUAUCCUUGAGUUUGGGACUUGAAUGAUUGCCAAACUAGCCCAAUUCAUAGAUCAGAAACUGUACAUAUAUAUGGCCCCUAUGUCAAUUCCCAUUCCUGCUGGUUGAGUGCUUGACUUCUCUCGUUCUCCCAUCUCCCACGCUGGUUGAGAUCCGGUCACUGUUGAGCUGCCAUUGCCACCACCGUCAAGCCCCAUUUUUGUGGCCAUCAAUCCCCACACUCACCAUAUGCCCUCCGUCCAAGACAUCUCGCUCACUCCGUCAGUCCCUCUUCUGCUUGCUCACGUCUUAGUCUUCCUUACGCUCCCUCACUCUCUACCAGUAGAAAACAAGUACUUACCAGUUACUAGCUUGUUUUGAUGUCUUAAGGUUUUUUUUUUUUUUAAUUUUCGUACAUGCUAUUUGAAUUUUUUAUUUUAAAUUUUAAAAUGAUAGUUAGUCUCUCUUUAAAAAGAUGCAAUUAUCUCACGAUAAACUCUAAACUGGUACACAUGUGAUAAAUUUACAUUCUAUUAAAUUUUAUUAUCAAAUUAUUAAGUUAGAUGACACAUGCUAAUUGAUGGAGAUACCAAUUUGGGGUUUUCUCCUCCAUUUGUUACAAUCGUACUAGUUUGUGAUUUUUUGUAGUAUUAAUCCAUUUUAACGAAAACCAACAAAUAUUAAAUUAUCACAAAUGUAUCAGUUUAUGAUUUUUAAUAGUCAAAAUAUUAAUUUGCGGUAAAUGUGUGAUGUACCAAUUUGGGGUUUUGGUUAGUCAAAAAAUUAACUUGAGAUAAAUUUAUCGCGUGUAUACCAAUUUUAGAUUUUUUGUGACAUUAAUUCUUUAUUAUUAUUUUUUUGUUUAACAGUUUAUUAGUUACAUUUAGAUAGUAGAUGGUAGUGGAAAGUGGCCGUUAAUGACGAUUGGCACUUUUUAAGUGCUAAAUGACGAAAAUCGCCUCUGAAUUCGUCUAAAAUCUAACCCGAGCUAUCAUCAUAAUUUGGUUUUUAAGGCAAUCUAGAUCGAGAUAUCAAAAGAGGAACCUCUCCCUUAAAGAAUCUACAAACGUGGUAAUGCUAUUUUAUAAACCAUAUUCUCUAAUAUCUUUAUGUUCAAAUGAAAAUUUACGUAGAAUAAUAAUCGAGUUGGGAGAAUCAUUACCUACACCCAGUGCAAACUCUAUUCCUCUCACAGCAAGCAUGUAUGAAGGCCUAAUAAGAGUGAAAGUCAAAUUAUUCGUAAGUUGUUCGAGCUUGGGUUGAUGAUCAUUUGAGAAGUAAUAUUUAGUCGAGCUCUAACUCGAGCUACUUGAGUAUCUUGCAGAUUGAAAGCUCGAGCUCAUCAACACUCAGCUCAAUAAACUUUGUAAGCCUGAUUAAAAAAAGCAAUUGUUAAUAAAAUUAAAUAUUAACAUCCUCAUCUGCGCACAUGUAAUAUAUAGUAUAUCAUCUUUUUGUUUGAAUCAAGCUCCAGCAUUAAACUAAUGUUUGGGUGAGCUCAAAUCUUGUUUUAAACAUCGAGUAUGAAGUUGAGUGGAUCUCGAGUUUGGCAUUGUAGUGGCUCGGGUGGCUCAAUCAGAGAUCCCUAGGCCCCAGCCGUGUUGACAUCCAAUUCGAUUAAUAAGAGUCUAUGUGUCCAUUGAAGCAAUUAAGAAUUCUGACGUGCAAAAUUAUCAAGAAAUCUCAUUGCUCAAGAUUGGGUUGUGAUCUUCGUCACGCAAGUUUUAAAUCCCCUAUAAUUUUCAAUCCCUAUAUUAACCAAUAGCUUAGAUGAUAAAAGUAAGUGAACAUUAAUAAAUGUAGGAAAUCUUCAAAAGUCACCUUUCCUAGGUCCUAGCUGUAAUCUCGUGGGGGACGUAGCUUGGCUUAAAAAAUCCUUGCUGCAACUUUUCUCCGACAAAAUGGCACUCCAGUUCUCUCUCCUCAGUUCUAUGUAUUUGUUUGUUUACUGAAAAGAGGGCUUUUGCGGCAAUUUUUGUCUCAAUAUAAUUUAAUUUCGGAUAACCAUUUGACAAUUGAAAAAAUCCCUCGGCCGAUAAGAAAUCUUUAAUUUCAAAUGUCCGCCUUUGCGUUUUUCAUAUAUUAACUUGGAGUGUACAUAGAGAGAUCCUUGAUAAUUUCAACUUUUUGAAUUAAUUGGUAAAUCACUAAGCUCCGUCAUGCUAGUCUCUCUCAACAAGUACUUCUUAUUAUUAAAAAAAAAAAGAUCCAUUUUUAUUUCUCACAACUUCAAAUCUUAAAAAAUAAUUUUUUUAAUUUUCCUAGGUCUUUAAUUGAAAAAUUAACCCAAUUUCAUUCCGAUUAUCAUUAUAUAUCAUCAACAUAAACUAAACAAUCACGAUAAAUGAAUGUCCUCUCCUUGAAGUAAAUAGGGAAUAAUUAAAAAAAUCAACAAUUGUUAACAUCUGAGAAAUUAAAAAGGGAAGAAGAUCCGUCAGGUUUUCCAGUUCCUGCGUUUCUAGCAUUCGGUCACUCUCUGCUUCCUCUCUCUCUCUCUCUCUCUCUCUCCCUCCAACCCUCGAGCCGAGCUGCACCGCCUGAUAGGGGGCCUUCGACCGCUGCCGCCGCAUCUACGCCGCCGGGCCACCUCGGCGUUCGGCAGCAGCGCCGCCCCUCUCUCCGCCUCCUCCGAACACCCCCCCGCCCAAAAAAAAAAAAAAAAAAACCUAGUUUCCUGGCUUCGGUUCUCCGAGAUUGCUCGAAGAUGGACGAGGACCAGGAGAUGGAGAGGUUUGGGAUGGACAGCGAUUACGACGAUGGGCAGUGGAUCGACGGGGAGUUCUACUACCGGCGGCGGAGGGAGAAGCGCGCCCAGACCAAGGGCGACGUGCUCUACGGCGUCUUCACGUCGGGGGACUCCGAUUCGGACUACGACGACUCCUCUAAGAGGAAGCGGAGGAAGAACAGGGACCUCCUAUGUAAGGCCGAUCUGUCGAAGCCCGUGUAUUUCGUGUCCACCAGCACGAUCAUGCCGAACAGAGAGAUUGACGAGAACUCGAAGACAGAGAAUGAGGAUGACGAGUCCGCUGACGUGGAUGAGGAUAGGCCGGGCAUGGGGGUUGGUGCUGGGGUGGGUCUGGGGUUUAAGAAGCGAGACGAUGGUUUCGAUGAGAACGGCGAGGAGGAGGAUGGUUUCUUGCCGACGGCAUUUGGGCGGAAGAUCAAGGAGGGAGCGGAGAGGAGGAGAGAGCAAUCGAAAUUGGAGAAUAAAGCGCAACAAGGUGGGGCUAAGAGGGAUUCUUAUGAAUCGGGGAACGUGGGCGGCUUCGAGAAGUACACCAAGGGAAUUGGAACGAGGUUGCUCGAGAAAAUGGGUUACAAAGGGGGUGGUCUUGGGAAGAACCAGCAGGGGAUUGUGACACCCAUUGAAGCAAAGUUGCGUCCUAAGAACAUAGGUAUGGAUUUCAACGACUUACAAGGCAACUCCUGCAGAGGCACCUGUUGCCUCGUUGGAGCCAGAGGAAAAGAAGCCAUCACCUAAUGUGCCCGGUCAGGAGAAGCUUUGGUCUAAGCAAGCGACGCAGAAAAACAAAGCGAAAUAUAUUACAGUAGAAGAGCUGUUGGCGAAGAAGUAGGAUCAGGGCGUUGAAGUUGUGCAAAAGGUACUCGACAUGCGUGGACCUCAGGUUAGGGUAUUAGCAAACUUGGAGAAUCUGAAUGCGGAAGAGAAGGCGAGGGAGAGUGAUGUUCCUAUGUCUGAGCUCCAGCACAAUAUAAGGUUGACUCUGGACCUGGCUGAGUUGGAUAUUCAGAAGAUCGAUAGGGACCUUAGGAAUGAGAAGGAGAAGGAGAAGUUGCAAGCUGAGGCAAAACUCUAGAAGAAACAACUGAUUAACGUGAAGGAGACAAUGAAUACGCUAGGCCGGGUUGAGGAGGAAAAGUCAAUGGGACGUGCGAAGAAGGCUUCCUGAUGAUUAUAAACUUCGUAACUUAUCCUGCAUUGCUUGCUUAUUUGCACUCCCUCUUUGGAAUUCCACACAUGGGUUGGAAGUUGUUUCACGGUGGAAAUCUCUAUUGCAAGGACAGGAAUGUCUUGAUAUAUGGGAUUUGGGAUCCCCUUAUACCUAGUUAGUUUCAGAAGUUGUCUUGCCUGCUGUGUGAAUAUCAGGCAUUUGAAACUUGGGAGGCAAGGAAUCCGGAGCCAAUGCUUCGAUUUUUUGAAGAUUUAGUGAUUAGUCUUCUCGCAUGUGGGCGCAAAUUCAAGUUUGUCAAUUUCUUCUCAAGUGAAGGGCAUUUGGAAUUCAUUUAUUUAUUUAUUUUCUUCAUAUUAACUGAAUGUUGAUAUGCAUAACAAAAGCAAGUAUACGGGCAUCUUUGCGUCGCUGCGGCACGACUCUUCUUCAGCCUCUCUCUGUCGACAAACACAGCACCUGAGCCUCCGGCAGUGGCUUUUCGUCUUAGAAUCGGCAACAUCCCGGCGCUCUUGAACUCGAACUUGCUCUCCACGCUGGAUGAAGCUCGCUAAUUCUCUCUUUUUAUCUCUCUUCCUUGCGAGAGCUCGAUACCUCAUCCAAAGUGCAAUCAACGGUAAUGGAAAUUUGGAAGAUGGCGAGAGGAUGGGAGAAAAUAAAAGCAAAACGGAAAUCAAACAGACGAAAUUUGGAAUGAAUUGAAGACAAUUCUAGAGUUCAAUCGGAGAUGGAACGUCCCAGUAAUUGUUUUGACUGUUGAUUGAAGAAACUCCGUGGUCAAAUUCCGCUGCCACGGCAGCAAGGCGAGCGGCAUCUUCAAACCGGUAGCAACGCUUUUUGUGCUUCGAUCGGUGCUGGAAGCAACAAUCGUCAGAGAGCUCAGUCUUGAUGAAUAGUUGGUGGGUACUCCAUUCGCGGUUGGAUUCUCUCUCUCCAGAUUUUCUCCGACCAGAUGUUUUUUAGCAUCUAUUCUCUCUCUCGCUCCGGAUUCUCCUUAUUCAUCUCCACCAAUUCAGAUCUAUCUCGCGUCAGAUUCCCACAGUGAACGACACCAUCAGAUUCCAAAUUUUGAGUCGUGGCCACACUAAUUCCACUCUGAUUCUUGUCGUCGCUUUCCUGUCCUUGCACAUGUCUGGACCAGAUCUAUAUGUGGCCGGGCCAUCUCGAGCUCAUGCUGCCAUCGCCGCCAAACCAUCAUCAAGGGUGUUUCAUAUCCAAUUGAACUUCCGAGUCAAAAUUUCGAUUCACUCCAGAAAAUGUUCUGUCGAUUCUUGCUUCUUUCUGUUCGCUCCCACUUCAUGGCCAUCUUUCGAAUUCCUUUGUUUUGCCCAUUUAUGCCUUGCGCAAAGGGAAAGCGGGGUGUGUUCACUGCUUAAAAGAGCUUUAUCUGAUUGCCAAGGGUGAGGUUGGAUGGAUCAUCAUCAUCUGGACAGGAUCCGCCGAUUCAAAGGAUGAGAUUCUUUGGGUUCACUCUCGGCACUCCUGCCGGUCCGACAUAGUUUCAUCAACCAACCGCAACGGAGGGCAAUCUGAGUCAUCAAAAUCAUCCGAAAAGAUACGCCAAGCAUGAAGAUUGGCGGUGGUGAGCACGGAGAGAAAACAAGGAAGAAUAAAAGUCGCGAAGCAGUGGAUGGAGAUGAUUCGAAUUUUGCGUGGGGACUGGGGAAAACGGGGCAAACAAGGUGAAACCGGCGGUGGUUCUUUGGAUGAGAAGGAAGUAAAGUGUUGAAAUUUUUUUUAAAAAAAGAAAUAAAAGAAAAAGAAAUAAAAGACGAAAGGAAAAUAUAGAGAGCCCAUGAGAAAUCGGUCAAAAGGAAGACUUGCACGAAAAAUGUAAUCCGUCAUUAUAUUGAGCACCUUCAUUGCAAACUCGAUCCCUCCUCCACAGUGCAAUCGACGGCAAUGGGAAUUCGGCGAGAUAAUUGGAGAAAAAUGAAAUGAAAUAGAUAUCAAUAGACGUAGUCAAUAUGUAUCAAAAUUAAUUCUAGAGUCGAAUGGGAUAUGAAAUGACCUGGUGGUGAGUACCAAUAUUGACCUGACAGAUAUCAUCAUUGUUACAGAAUGGUCUCAAUCUCGAUUUCUCUUUGGGGCAACUCAACGAACACCUUCCCUAAUGUCCAUCUUCAUUUUUCAGCAAGUCUUCCUCCAUCAGGGUCGUUUCCUAUCCGAAUGAACUUCCGAGUCCAAUUUCGAUUCAUUCCAGUAUACGUUCUAUCGAUUCUUGCUUUCCUUCAUCUCCGCCUUUCGGAUUUCAAAUGCCGUUGCUCGCGUCCUUCGUUUCGUCUCUCUAUGCCGCACACAAUGGGGAUGUCUGGCUGGUGGAUAGGAUCUGCCGAUUCGAAGGAUGAGAUUCUUUGGGUUCACUCUCGGCCCUCCCGCCGCUUCAAGAAGCAGCAAGGACUUGCACAAAAGAUGGAAUAUCUUGAGAGCAAGAUUCAUCCCUAACUCAACCAUCAUUUUCUUUUUCUUUUCCUUGAAAAAGGCCAUCAAAAACUCCAAACGACGCCAUCAAGGACGCCCAUUGCGUCUCUUCGCUUCAAGUGCCUUUAUUGGAUCUCUCCCUCCAUCCCGACGCGCUCCCCGGCUCAGUGAGUUCCGAGUCGCUCCACCAUCACCCUCGCUAUCAACUCGCCUCGUGAUCGAUUCCGUCGCUCGCUGUCUUUAGAAACUCCGGUGAUCCUCUCUCUCUCUCUCUCUCUCUCUCUCUCUCUCUCUUUUCCUGUCCUUCUUCCGGUUCGAAUCAUGCAUUCGUUUUGUGGAUUCUUAGGUGUUUUGACGGAGGUUUGAAUCUGGUGUCCUUGAGUGAUGUUUAAUGCUAUUGUCGUUUUGCUCAUCGAUGGAGUUCAUGUCGGAUUUUUUUUCUUUUUUCCUUGUUUCGAACCGUGAAUCCGAGACCACUUGGAAACGAGCGAUGAUUGAACUGAAAACGUCCUGAGAAAUCGCCGCAGUGAGCGAAAGUUGUGCAGAGUUAAGCUCGGUCGAACAGUGGUUCGGUUUUCCUCUAUUUUUUGGCAUUAUAUAGUCACUUCUGGAUUCAGUUGUGGUGCGAGGGUGACUCGCUAGCCAUUCCUGAUCGGUCCUUCGGUUAACGCUUUUCUCUGUAUAGAUUUCUGAGCGGCUUGGGACUUGGAGAUGGGAGUAGCACCGAUGAGUUAUAACAUAAAAGAGGGGACGCUGGAGAUCGGCAUGGGUGAGCUUUCGGCCCUCUCCGCUUUCCAAAUUUUUUUUUUUUUUUUUUUGGAGCUACGGACAAUAAAGAUCUGCUGGGAUGCUUAAAUCUCGUAAUUAAGUUUUGUCUGUAUUGUGGGGAGUAGCUUUCUCUCCUUGUUCGUGGCUUAUUAUGUCUUUCGCCAUCUAAAUUUCACCGUGCUUGGAAUCAGAACUUUAGUCAUGGGAUAUUGUUGUUUUCGAGGCUUUCCAUAUAGCUUUCUCGUUUCUGAAAAGUUUAUGCUGCCCCUGUUAUGACAACGGUUAAUACAUUUAUUACUUAGAUCUACACAAUCUCUAUCAUUUCAUAUAUAUUGGCUGAGAGGUGAGGAAUGAUUUAGCUCUUGUCUGAGUCAAAUGUUUAGCAUGCCUUAGUCGCUGGGUCUUGUUAUUGGUUGUUCAAACAAUUGCUUCGCUACUUGCAGAGUAUAGGACCGUCUCUGGUGUUGCUGGGCCGUUGGUUACACUCGACAAAGUCAAGGUAAAUUUCACCAGUUAUAAUUUUAUGAGGUUCAGUGGACUCCUAUACUAACAUGUUGGAUUAAUUUUAUUGUAUAUCAGGGACCAAAUUAUCAAGAGAUAGUAAAUAUCCGCUUGGGUGAUGGAACAACUAGACGUGGACAAGUCCUUGAAGUUGAUGGAGAGAAAGUUGCUGUGCAGGUUCAGUCUCAGUUGCCAGCCUCUUCUUUUUUCCUUUAGCUCUCUUGAUACUGCAUUUUUGUUGUUUGGACUGCAAUACUUGGGUCAACUUUGUGUGCAAUACUUUUCAGCUGAUGACCCAGUGAAUUCUCUGUCAUUCAUUGCAAGCAUUAGAAAAAGCAGAACAUGAAGAGUAUUAUCUUAGGUAUAUGUGAUGAAAUGUGAGAACAUCAUAUGGGAUGAUAAUUGAAAUGUGAUAGAAUUUCUUGAGAACAAUGUUAAGAGUCUAAUUAGCAUUCCGUUUAGGCAAUUAUAGAUCCUCUUUGCUCUCGAGUGAUGGAAGUCUAGUCAUGGUGUGGGUUAUUUUGGCUCUGCAAAAGGCUAAUAAUCUUUCCUAUAUGUCUCUAAUUGUUGUCAAACUUCCGUAGGUUCUGUUAUUCACUAGUUUCUUUGUCAGUAAAAUUUAAAUAUAAGUAUUCUACUCAUGCUUGUGUGAUCGGUGGUUGUUCAUCUUAGACUUCCAGUACGUAAAGCUUUCUGGUCAUCCAUGUUUCACUCUCUUGUCGCUAGGUUUAUGAAGGUACUUCUGGGAUUGAAAACAAAUACACCAUUGUGCAAUUCAUUGGUGAGGUAAUUAUGCAUGCUGUUUGUUUUUGUUUUCCUAAUAAAACAAUGUUUCAUCAUUCUGUAGAAAGAAAGAGUUAGAUUUGUUUUUUUCCGUAUUUGGGAACUAAAUGCUCCUACAUGUUGGCAACAAGAUUUCACUUGUAGCAUGAGAAAUAAUUUGGCAUAUGUCUUGGGCUUGGCCUCAUGAAAGGCUGUCAAAAGUGCAUUGUUUUCCUACCUUUACAAAUCUUUUUAGCUGUGUCAGCAUUUACUCUCUUUAAUCUUGGAUAAAUAAAAAAACCUUUAGAAAUUUAUUGUGGAGUUCUCACAUUUUUCUUUUAAUGCAGGUUCUAGAAAGCCCAUUGAUAAUGGCUCUCCAAUUCUGCCAGAGGCUUACCUGGAUAUUUCUGGUGAGUUGUGUCAUUGUGAUAGUAAUUUUGAUUGGCCAUGGAGCCAUUUAUACUUCAUGGCACCUAUGGCAAUCCCAAGAUCCCAGUGAAAGAACCUUCCUGGAAGAGAUGAUACAAACAGGAAUUUCCUCCAUUGAUGUAACGAAUUCCAUAGCUCGUGGACAAAAGAUCCCACCUUUCUUUGCUGCUGGUCUUCCUCAUAACAAAAUAGCUACUCAGAUUUCCGCCAGGCUAGUCUUGUGAAGCGAUUGGAGAAGGCUGAUGGUAUUACCAAGAUAUAUGUUGCAUCUUUGUUGUAUACCAAUGUUAUAAUACCCUGCUCUAUGAGUUUUAUUGCCUCGAUAAUUUAAGGAACUACCAUUAGUUUUACAGAAUUUUCCUACGGUUUUGGAGUUCAGGUUCAGAAUUCACCUACAAUGUAUUUUAUCCUUUGACUAACUAGCUCCACUAUUAUAUGCUAGACUUCUCAAUUGCUAAAUGCAUUCUUUGUGAAGAUUUUUGAUCUUAUUUUAUUUGUUGUUUUUUUGAGAAUUCGAUGUUAUGAGCCUUCAUCUUUCUAUUCCAAACACUCUCUUUCAAUAUCAUUUAUGAAAAUGUGCUGCAAAUUUAUGUAGGAUGACAAAGAGGACAAUUUUGCCAACAAUGUUGCCAUAGUAUUUGCUGCUAUGGGAGUGUACAUGGAAACUGCACAAUAUCUCAAACGUGACUUGGAGGAAAAUGGGUCAAUGGAGAGAGUGGCCCUUUUUCCUUAAUCUGGUAAUAUCUAAUGAGCUAAUAGUUAAUUGUCUCGCAGAUUGUUUCUUUCUGGCAAUUUUUGCAAGUUCGUAGAUUCAGUUCGUGACAUAUAUCCUUGCUGAUUAAAGGGUUGUACGGAUGCCUGUAUUUCAUUUUACGAAGUUUGCUAUUUUCUUUAGGCCAAUGAUCCAACUGUUGAAUGCAUCAUCACUCCACGAGUGGUGGUCACAACUGCUGAGUAUCUGGCUUAAGAAUGUGACACAUCUAUAGUGAUUUUUUUAUUUAUUUAUUGUGAUGUCAGAAUUUCAAAAUUAUAUCCACUAUGGAUGAGGAUAGGCGGGGCUUGGGGGCCUUGGGAAGAACCAGUAGGGGAUUGUGACACCCAUCGAAGCAAAGUUGUGUCCUAAGAAUAUGGGUAUGGGUUUCAACGACUACCAAAGAAACCCCUGCAAAGGCGCCUGCUGCCUCGUUGGAGCCAGAGGAAAAGAAGCCAUCACCUGAUGUGCCUGGUAAGGAGGAGCUUUUGUCUAAGCAAGCGAACAAGACGAUGCUGAAAAACAAAGCGAAACACAUUACAGCAGAAGAGCUGUUGGCGAAGAAGCAGGAACAGGGUGUUGAAGUUGUGCAAAACGUACACAACAUGCGUGGACCUCAGGUUAGGGUAUUAGCAAGCCUGGAGAAUCUGAACGUGGAAGAGAAGGUGAGGGAGAGUGAUAUUCCUAUGUGCGAGCUCCAGCACAAUAUAAGGUCGAUUGUGGACCUAGUUGAGUUGGAUAUUCAGAAGAUCGAUAGGGACCUGAGGAAUGAGAAGGAGAAAGCUCUGAGCUUGCAAGAGGAAAACAGAAGCUACAAGCUGAGGCAGAACUCCAGAAGAAACAAAUGAAUAAUCUAGCAACUAAAUUGUGCACAUGGAACAGCGGAAGCACAAUCACGGUAGAGUCUGAUUCCGUUAGUUUGUACCCCACCUUAUGAUGCCAAAUUGCGCUGAGUUAGCAGCAUGUGAUUGGGGAGGGGUGGCCCAUAGCGCUGGAGGUGUGCAAGAACAUAGCUACAUCCGAGGGAUCGUUGACAACUGUGGACAUCGAGUCGAGGCUCGGCUCGGCUCUACGUCGGUCGAAGAGAGAGUGAUUUGGUAGAGUGAAGAUUGGCGGUUAGGUGGGGGAUGUUGAGCUUGGAAGCAGCGGAUUGAGCCCGUCGGUUUCCUUCUUGCAGUGUCAAUAGGAGCUUCGGUUCUGAGUCGGAAAGGUAGAACUUGAGCACCUUAGCUGUGUAGAAGGGAUUGAGCGGAGCUGCGGUGGCUCAGCAAUGGAUUACCGCUGGAAACAGGAUCACAAACUGCAAAACGAACACAUUUUCCAAUAAGAAAACUAUCACACCAGUCCCUGCGGAUUGGAGAUACACAUACAUAUGCAGGAUAUGCAGACAACUAGUUUGUCAACAUUUAAUUUCAUUAAAACCAUCCAUCUCCUUUUGAUAAGCGUUGACUUUGUUUUACGAUGAAUCGGUGCUUGUACAUCCCAGAAAACAACCCUUGGACCCGACAGAAAAUUCUCUUCAUGCUUUUCCCAUUUCAAUUUGUUCCUGUUCAAUUUGCACCACGCGCUCGCAGAAAUUUCAUGCCUCAGAUGCAAUUUUUUUCAGUAGAAAUCGAUGCCAUUUCCGUCUCUCUGUUCUCGAAGUACUGUAAAACUCCAAGAAACAUCUACCUCUUUCUUUCCCAAGCUAUUUCCCAGUCGAUGUUUCGCAAGUCAUCGAUCUCAUCAUUAGAAAUUCAUCGUCACCGCAAUCUUCCAGAUAUUGUGUUCUCAAAUUUAAACAGCAUCAUCCGUACUUGCGAACAGACCGGGAUGACACAGACAUACCUCGAUGUUGUUGAGGAAAGUAAGCGCGGCGGUGUCGGUGCGAGGCAGUGAUGAGUACGGUGGUGCAAUUGACAAGCUCCUGCAGCCGCAUGUGUGUCAGGUCGAGCUCCUCGCAGGCGGAGACGGCUCUCUUGUUGGGGAAAUCCGAUGUUGCCUUCUUCAAUAGGUCCGUGAGCGUAAGUUCUCCCAUCACUAACCACAGGGAACGAAUCGACGGCAAUCGGCUUCAGCCGAAACCAAUCCCCGAUCAAACUGAAGAGGGGCACCACAAUCGCUUGGCGAGACAAGAAUGAAGGAUCGACAAGAACAGGAAUUCGCACGUAUGCAUAUGAGAUGGAAAUGAGACCAGAGGGAGGAAGGGAAGGAAGUUGAUGCAAUCGAGGUGGCUCCGCGGCCAGUGCGAGCUCGGUUAAGGUGGCGACGGAGACUUAACGGAUCAAAGGCUGUAACUAGUCUCACUAAUGUCUUCGCAAGAAAAUGUUUCAAUAAACUAAUGAUAGCCACGUAAUCAAUACAUUUGUCCAUUCAGUGGACGACAAGUGGCACUAUGGCGGCCCGCUCUAUCAGCAAGUCUGCAAGUCCAUUCUGCACGACAAAAUAAAUGUCGUCCAAGUUUGAGAUAAGAAAUGAAAACCGCAGCAUCAGAAAAGGUCAUCACCAAAGGAUUAAAAUCCAGUCCAAGUUUGGGGCAAUGGCGAUUCUUGCACAGAUUGUAUAUAUGCGAAGAUCAAUGGCGAUUCUGACAGUCCAUUCUUUGCACGCACACACGCAGAUCUCCUGCUCCUUCACAACAAAAUACACAUUCAAAACUCAAUUAUGUUCAUACAGAACACUUUAACUCGAACCAGAGGAAUCAACAAGCCACGAGACAGCAAUUUUCAUGUCAUACGCCGAGCAUACGAGGUGAGAAUACUAACACUAUUUGACAAAUGAGCAUCCUAUUCUGACAAAGUCGGCCAUAAUAAGUAUUCAAAAAGUUGAGAACAAAUCGAAUUUAUGUAAUAUGAUUCUGCGGUUUGAGAAUUGAAUCGAAUUUACAUACUGAUCUAGUUCGAGCAUUUUAUCAAACAAGUAAUGUGCAUUUUAACCAAGGAGCUCAUACGCCAAUGCACAGCAAGGAUUGACUUUCAGAUCAUCACGAAAAUAACAGCACAAGUCCGAGUUGUUAAAUAAAGCUUCAAUCUCAACUGAUUUACUCACAGACAUUAGCUAAAGCUAACCGGCUCUGUUUCGUUCAUGAGCAGCAGAAACAGAGUGCGUGGGAUUUACCUUGAUGAGAGUGAGUUUUUCACUUCGGUCCGUGAUCAGAUCGGAGAAAAGUUACUGGCGCUCUCCACGUCGACGAUUGACCUCUGGCUCGUGCACGUUUGGGCGGCAUGACCAGAAAACAGAGCAGAAGGAGAGGAGGCCUUGCGGCAACGGAACCGGCAAUGGUGGAGCCGCUACGGCAGCGUUUCGACAGUGUCUAAAGGACAAUGGAGAAGGAGAACCGAUGAAGGAUCCUCUAGAAUUCCAAAGAGAGAGAGUUUCUUCGUGAGCUUCGGUGUGUGCGUUCUAUCGUGUCAUCGCUGAGCCUGUGGUGGCCGUCGAUGGUGGUGCGACGGUGGCUGUGGUGAUUGUAGACGGCCGACGGUGGUCUGGGCUUCGCCUUGUGGAUAAGGUCUGGGCUACACGAAUUAAACCAGGCCCAACAAACCGGACCAGGUCCUUUCGAUUAUGAUUUUUUCUUUCUUUCUUUCUUUUCUUUCUUCGUUUGUUAUUUAUUUUUAAUAUUAUUUUUUACUUUUUAUUUAUUUAUAUUUACCCAAAUGCAUGUUCGACUUGUUGGCAAAAAUUCAGGAGUCAAUAGGAGCAAUAUUCCAUCAUUUGGCCUAAGAACAACUUCACACCAAACUCAAUUACAAUUCAUUGUUUGUGCAAUAUUGUGACAUUAUUCCCUUAAAGAUUAGUCCUUGUACUUAACUCUUCCAUCCUUGAGUUGAAUUUGAGCGCUGAUAGCAUGGCUGCACUCGUACUUGAGUUGAUUUCUUGUAGAAUCGAUGCACACAGUACAGUUUGCAUCUCGAAGCGCAUUUUGCACGUUCUGUGCACGCAACACAUCGCGAUGGAAUCAUCAUGCUCCUGUAAUAGUUGUACACAUGACUUGCCAUCUUAAUUUAUCAUCAUAUAGGUGAUGCGUGUACUUUUAAGAUUGCCACUUUAUCUGUGUUCUUAGCACGUAUCUCAGUAUUGAUUUGUGCAAGUGGGUGGCACAUAUUCCGUCCAUGGUCUCCUCUGUUGAAUACUCUUGGCCAAGAGAUUACAAUGUCCUCUUUUGACUAACAUCCUCGUCUGUGCUUUGUCGUAUACGGUUUGUUAGGCAUUUAUACAGGUUAGAUACUUUUUGUGAUCAAGAGCAGUACAUUCCAUCCUAUAACAUCAAUUAUCUUGUGGGAUUGUGACGAACAUCACAUCAGGUCCGUUUUCACGUUCUCGUUCUUUCGCCCUUCGCCCGCCACUUGUAUCCGGCAAACUCAAUAAGAUAGCUCCACCACCCGUCAUUUCUCCGGCCUGCCAGAAUUUCUUCCGAUUUCCGUGUCUUGUUGCGCGCGAAUCAGUUGAAGUCGGAAGACGGUUUCGUAAAAAUCUCCCUUCUCAAUCUUCAUCGUCGUCUUCUUCUUCAGCUAGGGCUUUGUUUUCAAAUUCGUCCCAUGUUCGAGGUUAUCUCAUGUUUUAUUUUUUUGGUUAUGUUUUUCCACUCGCGCUAGUGACUUCAGAUCAUGGUAGGCUACCUUAGAGUGUCAAAAGGAAAAGUUCCGAAACUAGCUGAAAAAGACGAGGAUUGAGAGUGUAUAUAUGGGUCUUUCUUUAUCGAACUGGCUGUUUGAAAAUGCGGAUGAGCAGACCACUCCUUGUGGCUUCAUCAAGAAACAUCUUCAUGACAGCAAAGUAGUUGCCACUCUUCAGGCAUUUAGACAGAUCGCGGCCGGAGAAGUUAAGGAGCUAUGUGCACGUGGCAAUAAUAUCACGUCAAGUGUAGAUGUCUGCGUGUUUUGAGCUCGUCGAUGGAGAUGAUAUCGUGUUCAAAGUCUCAAUUUUCGGCCCUGCUGGUGCGUACCAGAAUUUAUUUGGGCAAAUCAACUGAAUCUUGAUAUGCAUGGCCAAGCAAUUUUCAAUCUAUGCUACAUCUUUUCAUAGUUAGUCAAUUCAAGAAACUUUCACGCCACUGUCUACUAAAUUCCUCAUCAUUUAAUUGGGAGAAAAGGUUAAUCAACUAAAUCUUGACCCUUAUCCCUACCAGUUUUGGAUCUAAGUGCAACUUGGUCUCCUUGUCAUGCAAUCCCCAUCGAUAUUGACGUCCAAGAACCACAUCUGUCGCUAGACGUUAGACGACGUGGGAACGUUAUUGGAGGGGCUUAUGACAUCUCAAAGUUAGAAAUUGGAUGGGAGAGAGGGACUUCAAGAUAAAUAUCCUUGUCCGAAUGAUCAUCACAUUAUACAGUUACUCAAAGUGUUAUUUUCGAGAGUGGGUCGGAUGGUUAAACCAUUGAACGGUACUACGGACAUCCAAUCAACCGAGUUUUAAAAAAGACAGAAAUUGGAGAAAAGGAAGAUAGUUUUAUUAAAUAAAGAGGCAAAGGUUUCGGAAAAUAGCAAAAAGUGGAUAAAAUAGCUAAAGAAGGUCCUACACACGUUCUCUGCCCUAUCGAACGCCAUUGCUCACCUGCUAGCUACAACGGCUACGCGCUUGCACCCUCUCUCUUGGAAAAAUGGGCUCUUGUGGGCACCACAUGCACCCGAGUCCCCAACUAGCCAGGUUGGAAGAGGAAAAAAUAAACAUAAAUGUUUUGAAAAAGCCUUUUUCUUAAAAAUAAUUGAUUAUAUCUCGAAUAGUCAGUCAAAAAAAUGUUUUUAUUACCAAUAACAAUUUAAUCAUUUUCAUUUAUUCAUUUUUGCAAGUGAUAAAAGCAAUUAUUUAUAGAGAAAUAUUUUUCAAAAUGUCAAUUUUUCACGAAACAAAUGAAUCGGUUUUCAUUAUUUUUAUUUAUUUAUUGCCAUCAAGUUCGUCUCACCAUUGACUAAUAAGUCAUAAUCUUACUUGACUCUAUCCUCUGAAACUUGAAAAAAAUACAAUAUUAAUACCCCAAAACUCCGGCAACUUUUUAGAAGCCCACAAACGAUAAUGUUACGAAAGAAAUUGGUAUAGCCUUUUCAUUUCCAGUUUGUUUCAUCUACAACAUUGCGACACCGAAAUCUACUUCCCGAAGUAAAUUGAGAGAUUCACGUGGUCGCAUUGAUGGCAAGCGUGCAGUGUAUCUGAUCCUUUGCGGUUCUUGAACUGCGACAAUUUGGUAUAGUAGAAUGAGGAAUAUUGUCUCUCUAAUAAACAUGAAGAAAAGCAAACCCAAAUAAUAAUCCAUUCAAACCCUAGAGCACCAGAGCAUGUAAUUAACAAAUUGAAUUCGACACGACUGACUAAUUACCCUUGUUGCCAAACGGAAUAACAAUUUAGAGAAUAGCGGUUAAGCUAUACAACAAUAGGUCACCCAUCAAAUUUUAUGAGGGCAAAGAGUGUCAUUGAAUAGCAAAAGCAAUUACUAAUUUACUAUUUCGUAACAAGACGAGCAUGUCCAUAAUCUGCCAAUGAUUGCUUACCCUUUCAAACAAAAUAAGGUAGGAAAAAAGGACGAAGGAGGCGUGAAGCUUUCUAAGGCUAAUACCAAACAUUAGCCUCAGAAAGCUUCACGCAAAUUAUCCACCCCUUGACGACAACGCAUACAAAUAAUGCAACACACUGCAUGUAAAAAUAAGCUGACUGCAAAUCUGAAAAAAGCAGAGGGUGAGGACGAACUUUGGUAGGAGGGACAUAUCGGAUAUGUUAGACAGUUCAUGAGAACCUCUCAUUUUGCACGCCACAGAUGAUUCUCACGUCCGAUAGAUCCUGAGGGUGAUGAGUGAUCUAAUGAGGCAGGAUCCAGUAAAGCUUCCUCUCGGUGGGAUGGCGACGUCUUCACAGGGGUUGGGAGUGUUGGGCACUGAAUCUUGCUACAGCUCUUCUUUAAACUAUAGGGACUGAUAUAUCGCCACAGCCGACACGCAGCGUAGCAAAAUUGAAUGUCGUAAAAUCCAUGACAAACCUGAGGCCAUAGAAAGCAGCGUUGACUUCAACUCCAACGAAACCAGCCUCUGUGAUUGCAGAAUCAACAACCCUCUCAGGUCCAUACUACUAAAAAGAAAAGAAGCUUUAGACACAUUGAAAGACUCUAGGAUCUGCAAACAUUUCCUCAUCAAACGCAGCAUUCAUGGCCUCUCUCACAAUCAUCUCUUUCCCAUAGUAUCAUAACUACGUAAAGGCAUUUCUGCAGCACAACUCUUCCGUGGCCUUUCUCUUGACAACAUAGCAUCCGAGGGCUUUUCGUAUUAGAAUCGAUAACAUCAUGCGCUCUUGAACUCGAACUUGCUCUCUCUCUCUCUCUCUCUCUCGAACGGGUAUCCUUGGAAACAAAGUCCAGCUUCGUCAUUCCAUCGAACACCUUCCUUGCAAACUCGAUUCCCUCCUCCACAGCACAACCAACGGCAAUUGAAUUUCAGAAGACAGCGAGAGAAUUGGGAGAAAAAACAAGAUCGAAACAGAAAUCAACAGACAAAUCUGGAACGAAUCGAAAUUCAUUCUAGAGUUCAACGGGAGACGACGAAUUUCGUCAUCGCUUCAAUGUUACGAGGAACCGGCUGUCUCUGAAGAUCUCUCGAAGCAAUGAUCGUAAGAGAUUCCAGUUGACAGGCUCACUCCCUCAUGGUUUCGUACAGAGAGAAAGAGAGAGAUUCUUCUCUGAAUUUUAGACACCUCGUUCUUUUCUCCUCUCUCUCUCUUUUAUUUUAUUUGCACUCUUGUUAUUUCUUUUUAUUUUGUUUUGUGUCUUUGAUUUGUAUUUUAUAAAUAAAAAAUAUACAAAUAAAAUUCAGCUUCUUCAAUGAAGGAACUGAAUUUUAAUAUUCUAUCCCCUCUUUUCUUUUAUUUGUAUUUUUGUUAUUUAUUUUUUAUUUUUUACAUCUUUAAUUUGCCGGUUAAACUAACGAUACAGUCAAAAAGUUGAAGCUAUGCUCCAAUACUGGAUGAGCAUCACUCUUUAAUUUGGCCAUAAGCGAAAUCCAUGCAAGUAGCACGUACCAACUAUGCCAAUCCAACAAUGCAUGCUCCUUGGCCAAAGCAUUGGACAUCACCAUAAGAACCACCGGCAUAGUGGUCUAAUCAUCGGGUCUCAAUGUCAGAUUUUCAAAAUAUCUUUCAGUUGGGCCCAAUUUAGGAAAUUUGGAUUUUAGUUAAAGCUGAGAUGGCCCAUAUCCGCUUUUUUUGUAAUUUAGAAAUAAUGUCUUAUUUUCCUUCUCACCAAGCCUCUUUCAUUUUCCCCGAUCUCUCGUUCUCUCUUGUCUCAUGAUCAUCGAGUCGUCCAGUCCCCACCAACCCGCCACCGCGCCACCUUCGAGCCCUGAGCUCUGCUUUCUCUCUCUCAGUCUUUCUUCUCGUGUCUCGCCCACAUGUCAGCGAGUUACAAAGCGAGAGAUGGGACGGACUCACUUUUUUGCUCGUGUCAUGGUCUCCCUCCCGCUCCCCCUCUCUCCAGCAAGUGGCAAAACAGGUUUUUACUAGCCUGUUCUGAUGUCUUCAAGGUUUUUGAAUUUAGGACGUGCUAUUUGAAUUUCUCAUGGAGAGUAAAAGCAAAAAAUAAAAUAAAAUAAACACUUUUUUUUUUAAAUAUCGGGCUGUGCCAGACCCUUGGAUCUGGGCCAUAUGGCAUGGCUUCAGUCCGGGCCAGGUCCUCAGUCACACAUUUUUGGACUGACCCUCGAAAUAAGAAAAAGGUUUCGCUCUGGUCCUUUGGCCACGAGGCCUUUAUUGGCUUCCACAGCUAAUAGGUGGUCCAGCGAAUGACCGCAGAGCCGUUGGAUAUGAUAAGGGACGCUAUUCUUCCAUAUCAGCUAACCUCACAAGUUUUCGGAGAACGGUUUGGUUUCGCCUCUUCUCUUUGUGUUUUUCCCCUUUCUGGGGUUCCUUUUUUCUCUCCCCUUUCUCUCAGCAUUGUGUAAUAUCAGCUCAUGCGAGCGAGCCAAUUGUGAGAAUUGCUUGUAAUUUUCUUGUUUUUCGUUUCUUUUCUUGGCAAAUGGAGCAACACCUAAAACUCCAAUCGCAUUUCAUUAAAUUGGGUAUCAUUCAUCCGGCCAAACCUACAACUUGAGGUGAGUUGUUUUCUUUCGUGACAAAAGCAGGAACACUAGCAUCUUACUAGUCAAAAGUUAAAAAGACUUUUAUCAAGAUACGAUAGUUGGAGCUAUAUAAUUCGUGAUAAAAUAUUGUGCUCUUCUAUUUCCUAUUGAUCGAGUGACAUGCAAAGACUAACAUAAUUUCUAAAAUAAAGGGUUUAUUGUUAUUAGCCCGUGAGAAGACCCAGGAAAAGGGCGAAACAAGAAUUGAAAACGUGUCGAAGAGGACAAAGGAAGAGCAAAUUCUUAUCUGGGUGCGGGGAAUCAUGACCAAAGGGGUUCUCAUCGUUGUCGUUAAUCGUUAAACGUGUCGUUAACGGCUCGAUCUCGGGUGCACGAAUCCGGAUCCAAGGCGAAAAGAGGGAAAGGGCCCCGUCCUGAGGAUGAUCGGGCGCGGGAGGAGGGAGGGAACCCGGUAAAAGCGGUAGGGUGGCGGGGCAGGGGAGUGCACCGGCAGACUACUCCUGUUCAAUUUCGAUUGGGUUUGUGAGGUUAAUAAUAAUUCAGACGCACACUCAUUAAUGCCACAUUCCAAGCCUAAAUGAACUGAAAAGGACGUGCUUCUGGAUGUCCUUAUCCUUUCUCGUUAUGUUGUUCUUCAUUUUGAAUUUGAAAUUAAGUGUCAUGACGUAGUUAAAAUUAUGGGUUUUAUUUUUCCCACGGGGAACACCAAAGAGGUUCAUGAGAAAAUGUAAUGAGAAUCUUCCAAUGGCCUGUGGAAUUGGAAAAAAUGUGAUGAGAUGAUUUGGUUAUCAAACGGUUGGGAUGAAUUCGUAGAGCGUUACUCUAUCUGCGAGGGACAAUUUUUGGUCUUCAAAUCUGAAGUGGACUCCAUUUUCCAUGUAAUCAUAUUUGAUAAAAGCAAGUCCAAGAUAGAAUAUCCACCAACAAAUGCCAAUGGUAGGAACCGACCCUCAGCAGUUGGGCAUUUGUCUGGUUGAAAGUGGAAGAUGCCGACGAUUUCCGUGAUGUUUCGGUCAAGCUUGAAGUCUAGGGGGAUGAAUUGCAUUCACCCAAGUGUCCUCGGCUUUGUAAGGCAAUGGAAUCUGAUCGGGUUUGCGAAGUUCAUGACGGUUCCUAUGCACACUCAUCAGCACAGAGUUUGCGAGGAGACGGAAGUUCGAACUACUUAUCAUGAGAUUUUCAAUCCAUUUGAUUGUGUUCUUGUGUUUGAUUCCAAUUCCGUAUUCCGUAUAGGAACUCUCCAUGUGAUUUGGCUAAGAGAGGGAGCGUUAAAGCUAACUCAUUCUUGUAGGGCCCAUUUGGUUCGGCUUUUGGAGAAUGCAUUUGCCAAAAUGCAAAUACCUUUGGGUGAAUAGGGUUUUCCGAAAUGCAAAUAUCGUUUGAUAAAAUUUGCAUUGAGAUAUAACUUUGGCCAAAAUACCGUUUGGUAAAAUUUGCAUCUGUAAAGGACUUUUAUUAAAUUAAAAAAAACAAAAAAAAAACAUUAGUAUUUUUUUUUUUGAAGUCUGGCCAUCGGAUUGCCGGAUCUGGCGGCCGGAUGGUCGGAUCUAGCGGCACGACCCCAGGCGACCUCAUGUGGCCGCUUGGGUCGCGCGACCCAGGCCAUCAAUCGCCUGGGUCACGCGACCCAGGCGUCGCCUGAGGUCUGGCAACGGUCACCGGGGUCGGGCGACCCUCAGGCGGCAGUCACUAGAGCCUCGUCGGCACGCGUGACCCCUUAGCUGAUGACCCGCCGGCCUCCGAUCAGCUUCUUCCGAUGGUGUGCGGUGGUUUUUGAGAAGAUGAACAAUACUGAACUUGCAUUCCAGAGAUGCAACUUCCCAAAAUACCUCCGGAGCUGCAUUAGACUAAAGGCCUUUAGAGCCACUUGGAGAUGCAAUUGCAUCUCGCCAAAGUCACUCAAAAAAACAAAUCAAACACAUUUGCAUUUGACCAAGGGACUUUAGAGUCCCAAAGGGCUUUCCAAAUGCCCAACCAAACAGGGCCGUAGUGUUUAUCUAUCUCUAGCUUUCCCAUGUGUGCAUAUGUAUGUUUUAGGGGAUCUCAUAAAUGUCAAGCCAAUGGAAACAAGCCGAAUGAGUCAUAUCGGAUUUGAUUGUGCUGAAAUUGACAUUGGUGUGCAUAUAGGCCUCGAAAGCUAGACUAUUAGAAAGACCCAGAUCCAUCAAAUUGGGGUUGAUGUGUCCGGAGAUAUGAAUUUCACAUAAUAAGAAUAGCAUAUGCCUAAGCUUUCUUCAUGUUCUAAUUUGUGACUGUUGCAGAUAAACUGAAACAACUGGGUUUGCGCAGAGUUGUCAAAUCAGCCAGCAAAAUUAAACCCGACCACAUUGCGGUGAGGUGAAUAUAUCUAAAGAAAAGCAAUGUGGUAUGAUCCUCAUGACAAUGACAACACUUGAAUUUAAAUCACAGAGUUGCUAGACUAUAUUAGCUCUAGAUUGAUUGUGCAUCAGGUCAUUAAUUUCUGUUUUUAUCCUUGACAUGCUUUGAAAAGGAUCCUCGUACUGUCUUGGUCAGAAAUCGUUGGUUGUCUUCUUCUUUCUGAUGACAAAACUGCAGAAAGUGCACUUGAGUAAAGAGUUCCCGGCCCAUUCCCAAAGAUGCACUUCAAGAAAAGCCUGUGGACUGUGGCUCUCAUAUAUCAGGACAAAUCAUGGCCGGUGAAGCGCAUUAGCCACGAACAUUAUGGAAAGUUAUCUGUUGGUUGGGCUACUUUCUCGAGAGAAACUUCUCUGAAGGAGGGAGGCUUGUGCAUGUUCAAGCUCUAUUAGAAGGGGCAACGUCGUGUUCAGAGUAUACAUCUUCAAGACCACUAGCCAGAGGUAGGUGAAAAAUCCUAUGCAAUAGGACACGGCAAAGGAAGCAUCACUUUAGCUCAGAAUUGCUUGGCUAAAAUCUGCUUCAAAUUUGACAAAUCAGAAAAAAGCAUGAGUUUUAUUCUAAUGAAUGGAAAGAUACCUUUAAUCGAUCCUAGUGUUACAGUCACCACGUGGGGAUGACCGAAUGAGUCAUGAGUCAUGAGACGGAGGAAGCUGAUUGCUUCUAGUACAAGUCACACAGCCUCAUUUCCUUACUCCUCCCAUAGUAGAUUUUCGUCGUCAUCGAACCACUCUCUAUAUUUCAAAACCCAAAAGGAAAUUUAUAUUCAUUUAAGCAAAGAGAGACAAUAAAACGAUGUAAAAGCCGUCCUUCAAGUCUAUAUUAAUCAAAAUAUCCAAUGCUCUCUAGUGAUUAAUACAUAGAUUCUAAUUAUAAUCGGACAUCUACCGAGCACAACCGAAAAAGAGUUCUAUAAGCUAGCAAUGACCUAAAAAAUAGUUCCACAAGAGGGCUCAACCUCCUCGACUUAUUAAAUGAAUCACGAGGCAAGGAAAAGAGAACUUGGGCAAUUAAUGGCAUUAAACGCAAUUAAUGCGAAUCAUGCAGAAAUUAUUAGAAGUAUAGUGAGUUGGGGCUUAGAUGGUGUUCCUUACUCAUGUCAAUUGGCAAUGAUAAAGAAAAGUAACUAACUUGUGUGAAAGUUAUCAAUCAUUUAAAAAUUUAGUGUCACUUUAAAACUUACAAAAUUUAUUAAUCAGAUAAAAAAAUUAAAAAAAAAAUGUACGAUUACAAAUUACUUUCAAUCUGCAGAGCGUUACUUACAAAUUUGAAAAACUCUUUUAUGCAUGUGACACUCCAAAUUCCAUAUGGAUUGGAAGAGGGAUAAUUGACCAAUAGAUAAGUGUGAACACAAACCACCACCGCUAGAUAUUCACCUCCUGAAAAACUUAUUUAGGGGCUUAGAUCAUAACAAAUCGGAUUGUUAAUAUUAGAAAAUUCCAUGCCUAACUUAUAGCUCGAACUUGCACAUUAAUUAAAGAUAUUUAACUUGGUAUUUGGCUCAAAUAAAAGUUGUACUCUACAAUGCUAACCUAAGAAAAGUAUAUAAUUCUCUCAAAUUAAGAUAGGUAAUUUCGCACAAAAAGUGUUAAGCGUGAUUGUGGUUGGUGGAGGAGAAAUACCUAUGUAGAUAAACCAAGAAAGCGAAUCUUUUUAAUACGAAAGUAAGUUAUACUAGCCAUUUAGCUUAAUUCUCCAAAAAAGUAUCAACUUUAUCUGGAGUAUUAAUUCAGGCAUAACCUUUUUUUUGUAACAAAAAAUCAUCAACUUCCAUGCCUAAAUCUGACUCCGAUUAGCUUUCCAUCAACUAAUGGUGUUAAAUGUUUGAUGCAUCAAUUUCACGUCAUUAUCUUUUUCCAAGUCAGAAUUCAUAUAUAUAUGCUGUCUUCUUUUUUCUUUAUUUCUUUUUUCCAUUUCCCUUUUUCUUUCUUCUUCUUCUUCCUUUCACUGGACGAUAACCUGACCACCGUGAGUCAGCCGUACGAUCCAAUCAACGGCCCAGCCCUCCGUCCACCACCACCUCGCCACCUUCCACAACCCCAGCCGUAUUCCUGUUUUUCCCAGCCUCUCGCCACAUAUCUCCACCACCACCGCCUCUACUCUUGGCCGAUGACCCCUGGCUUCCGAUGUCCAGUAGCCUGGCCGUGGCUUGUCCUCGCUGUCGUCGAGCUCGAGCUCGGCCGGCGCUCUCGAGCCUCAAAUUUUGGAUCUAAGCUCAAGCGAGCCCUAGAUUCGAGAUAGGGGGUCAGCUGGACCUCGGACUUGGGUUGAUUAAGGUCGAGCGGGGUCGACGGCAAUCACAACUAGAUUUUUGGAGGUUAAUAUCCGUUCGUCCAUGGCUUUUCAAUCCAAGUCUGUGCAUGUUGAUUAAUUGAAAAUGAGUGAAUCAGCAGAAAGUUUAGAUUUUUUUUGUUCAGAAUAAGAUCACGACCAGUUUCAUUUAAAAUAUAUGCAAUAAAAUAAAAUAAAAUAAAAUAAAAUAAAAUAAAAUGCAAUGACAGAAGAGAAGCAUUGUACAGUUAGUCACUUUGCCUUCAAGAAGCUGAAAAAAAAAGUUGGAAAUGGGCUCUGGAAUACAGAUUUAGCUCAUUCCACUGAAGAGUACAAAGAAAUGUGUGCAGAUGGAGUAGAAGGUCGCCGAGGUAGGAGGUCUGGAUGCUGGGGUUCCAUCCACGGUUGCCGCCGACAAAUGUGGUCGGUGACGGUGGCAGAGGCCGGAGACACUAUGGCGGCUGCAAGGAGGAAGUGGAGGAUGACAGGGUGGGAUGAUGGUGGCCAUGGACGGACAACCUUUAGGUAGCGAAAGGAAGAAGGAAGAUUAUAAAAAGAAUAAGAAAAGGAAAAGCUACAUAUAAUUCUGAUUUGGGAAAAAAGAAUGAGUGGAAUUGACAAAUGAGACGUUUGAGGUUGAUGAUGCUCUUUGGACGGACAAAAAGUUAACAGAGGUCAGAUUUGGAUAUGAAGUCAAAGUUGGUGAUUGUUUAUGAGAUACUAAAGAAAAAAUAUUUGGGGCCAGAAUUGAGAUUUGAACCUAAAUUGGUGCAAUUUUGAGGAAUUAAGCCCUUGCUAUUUUUUUUUUUUUGGACAAUAAGCCCUUGCUAUUUAGAAUCAUCGUUUUCGACUAUGUUUUAAAAAUGGUAGUGUCUAUAACAUGAUAACAACAUGAACAGUAAUAAGCAAGAGAAUGAAUUAGGGCAUAUUUAUUUUCGCGGCAGAAAAUGCUGCAGGCAGAGUCUUUCUAUUGAAGAGAUGAUCCUGCCCCCACGGACGAGGACACUUAACACCUACAAAACACAAACGGGGCGAGGGAGUUUCUAUUGGUGGGUUCCAUCAUCAUUAUAUUUAUCUAUGUGAUGUAGAUGUUUCCGUAAUGGGUUCUCCAUUCUUUUCAUUUUCUUGAGUUUAAGCUUCCAUCACUUAUCUGAAAAUGGAGAAGCUGGACUCAAAAAAAUUUUGAACUACUACCAAAUAAAAAAUUGUUGGAUGAUAAUUAAUAAUGUUUCAUUACUUUAAUAGUUUUGAUGGCUUAAAUCUAUUACCAAAAAAGUCAUAAACUUAUUUUUUUGACUAAUUGAGUCCUAAACCUUUUACAAUUAUUUCCGAUCAGUCCAUUCGGUCAAAAUUGGGUAGUCGGCACUGAUGUGGCUGUGACACCCCUCGACGGCCCCCGAUCCGAUUAGGGUCGUCACAGUUCGCUUACCAUUCACUUUCCUUAUUAACAUAUCACUCUGAUACCAUUUCAAUUGUAGCGGGUCCAUACAACCGUGGGGGUUUACACACAUUUUUUUUUUUGAUAGGUCCCUUGCGCAAUUCAUAUACGGAAGCACAUCUAGCAAACUCCCUUCCUUAUAUUUAGAAAACUAUGCACACCUACUAAACAUCUUAUAUAAGUUAAAGCCGUACACUUUUAUUUACAUAAAGCAGAUGGACAUCUUUAGUCGGUACAUCAAAAUGCCGUAGUUUUCUAUACUCGGCUACACUUCAAAAGAUGACCGACAUCUCCUCCCACAAUCGCAUGCUUAAGGUCCAUCAUCCAGUGUCGGCGUCCAAAGGUUCCCUCCUUUGCUAUCCUUCUCCUCGCGGUCAUAUCCAACCGCUCAAACCAUCUACUAAUCUGAAAUGUUGGUCCCCAAAAGGGGUGAGUACUACCACUCAGCAGAUAAGGAAUCCAAUAACAACUCAAUGCAUCAUGCAAAUCAUACAUGCAUUGCAGGCGUAACUUACCUUGCAGCCAUGCGUAAUACUAUCAUGCAUCAUCAUGCCUUAUCAUCAUGCAUAUCAUAUCAUCAUAUGUCAUCAUCAUAAUCAUCAUCAUGGCAUCAUUAUAUCAUACAUGUCAUCCUUAUCAUGACAUCAUCACAUCACAUAUUAUCAUCAUCAUCAUGCAUAUCAUCAUGCANNNNNNNNNNNNNNNNNNNNNNNNNNNNNNNNNNNNNNNNNNNNNNNNNNNNNNNNNNNNNNNNNNNNNNNNNNNNNNNNNNNNNNNNNNNNNNNNNNNNCAUCACAUAUCAUCACCAUCAUCAUGCAUAUCAUCAUGCAUAUCAUACCAUGGGUGAUCAUUAUAUCACAUCACAUAUCAUCACCAUCAUCAUGCAUAUCAUCAUGCAUAUCAUACCAUGGUUUAAUUUUCAUCUUUAUCUUUCAAUUUUGAUCACCACAUCACCCAUUCAUCAAUCUCAUCAUCAAUUUCAUCCCAUAUUUUACCCUCGCAUCCCAUGCGAGAAAAACCUCCGGGCAUGUAUCCAAGAUACAACCGGGCAUCCGGCCCCCCACAUUCCGGGCAUCUCGCAUCCCAACUAGCAUCACGAGGAACCUCCAGGCAUGUAUCCAAGAUACAACCGGACAUCUGGCCUUUACCCUUCUAGCCAGGCAUCCCGCACCCCAAUCCUGGUGUCGCGAGGAACCUCCGGGCAUGUAUCCAAGAUACAACCGGACUUCCGGCCCCCCACAUUCCAUGCAUCCUGAAUCUCCCAGGGAAUCUCUGGAAUUACGCCACCAGGCCACCAGACAUCAUCAUCCACCACAACCACAUCCUCAUUUACCAUCAUCCACAUAUACCAUUUCUUUAUCUCAAUUUAACAUGGCAAUUGGCAUGGUAUCAAACAAAUCACACUUGACAUGGAAUUCACACUUGCAUCUCAAUUCAUAUGUCAUACACAUGCCAAAACUUUAUCCCAUACACAUCUCAAUUCAAUACAUGUACAAGGACCAUGUCAUACGCAUACCAAGACUUUAUUACAUAUACAUCUCAAUCCAAUACAUGUGCAAAGACCUCAUCACACAUAUGCCACACAAAUAGAAUUGAAUCCAUGGCCAAAUAAAAAUCCAUUUUAUUUUAUUAUUAUUUUAUUUAUUUAUUUUCAUAAAUAAAUAUUAAAUUUAAUAUCUAUGAUUUUCCCAAAAUCAUAGUAUUCAAACAAUCACUAAACAAAUCAAUAGGAUCACAAUUUCAUACAAAAUUCAUAGCCAAAUUGAAUUUCUCAUAAUUUCACAAUUUCCACAAAAUAGCACAUGAUAUUCGGAUAAUGACCAGAAUUGCACAGUUUUCAAAUAAAUUAGAUUAAAAUACUCAUAUGGCCUUCAAAAAUUACGAAAUUUUACAGGGUGAUAGCCAAGACAUUUUCGUGCAACUUUCAUGAAGAACUCUAAGUCAGAUUAUUUUUAUAUUAAUUUAUACAUCCUCACGAAACUUCUGGAACCACUACCGCAUCGUCCAGAAUACACAUCUCCGAAAUAUUAAGGUUUCACCCAUCUAUUCUCUUUCUUUUCCUCUGAAAUUUGAGUAUGUUAUGUAUCAAGGUGUCCUUUACAAGUUUCAUGAAGAGAUCUAGGUCACAUAACCAAAUUAUGGUCACCAUUUAAGUCCAUCAAGUCUCGGGUGUCUCGGAACACAUCACCAGAAUCAUCGUCUCCAAGAUCUAGCCGAUUCACCAAGCUAUACUUGUUCUUUUUGCUUCAAAUUUGAGUAUGUUGUAUUUUAAGGUGUUACCUUCAACUUUCAAGAAGACAACAAAGUGAGAUCUCCAACAGAAAUCAACAUGCAAAUCAAGAAAUCAACAAGAGGUCAGUGAAAAUUUCGCAGAUCUAAAGUCUCCGUACAAUAUAACUUUUGACCCCUCAAAUAUCCAUCGUUUUCUACGAAUUUUUAGUAUGUCAUAGUACAAGACGUUAGCUUCAACUCUCAUGAAGACACCGAAGCCAAAAUCGAACCCCAAACUCACAUGAAACUCGAACAAGCUACUGACUUCAACAAACCGAACAAGAACAGUCACACGGUUUACAAAUAACCAACUCUUACCUCGGUUUUUCGCACAAAUCACACCUAAAAUCUAACAUGCAACCACCACAACAAACAUGCAAGAGAAGUUACGGACUCCACUUGCCUUAAAGGUGAACAAGCAACGACGAACGGCGACGGGACACGGCGAUCGGACGGCGAACGGACGGCACACCCCUCCGGCUCCGCCUCCUCUCCUCUCGGUUUCUCCCUUUCUCUCAAGCUCUCUCUCUCGCACACCCUCUCUUUGGACGAAAAGCAAAGAACCGGCCAUCUCUCUCUCCUCAUCCCUUUUAUAUCCCCUUAAUCCCAUGAUUAGCAAUGAUUACUUUGCCUACAAACCCACCAAUGCAUGCCAUUCCUUCAUGCCACUUGUCACACUAAUUUUGAAUUGAUUUGGGCUUGGGCUUAGGCCCAUCCGGCCACUCCCUUGGGCUGGUCGAAAUCCUCCUCUUCUUGGGCUCUAAUGGGCCGACAAGCUUGGCCCACCAAGCUUUAGGCUAAUGGGUCCAAGGCCCAUUCCAAUUUAACCUAUUUUUCCCUUCUUUUUUUUUUUUUGAAUUCCUUUCUAUAAAUAUUUCCAAAUUCAAAUUUCAUCUUGGCCAAAGUCUUGGGACACUUUGUUUAUUAAGAUUUAAAUUUAAAAUCUCAUGGCCAAUUAUUAAUCUAUAAAUUUAAAUACACAAAUCAUCAAAUUAAAAGUCAAAUUGGCUAAGGCAUAAGCCAAAAGAAAUUCUAUCACCUAAUUAGGAACUUCAACUCACCUUAUGGCUUGUCAUUAAAUUUGGGAUGCCACAGUGGCAGCCGGUCAGCGCUAAGUCUGGUGAGGGGAGCCCUGCCGGAUCUGGUGAGGGAGGCUCGUCGUCGCAUUUGGCGAGGCCCUCCUCACCGGAUCUGGCGAGGUCUCGCCUCGCCCGACGACCGUGAGGCAAGCCCUCACCAAAUCCGGUGAGGGGGCUUGCCCUCGCCAGAUCCGACGGGGGCUUGCCCUACCGUCGCUAGGCGUGAGCUUGCUGACUAGCAAGGCAAGCUCGCCGGAUUGCCUUAGUCUAGUGACCAGCCAACUUGGCCAAUCACUAGAGCCAAAGGAAGGAGGAGGGAGGAGGGAGGAAGAGGGAGAAGGGGAAAAAAAAAACAAAAGAGGAAAAAGGAAAAAGAAAAGAUAAAAAAUUAAUAAAAUAUUUCAAAAAAAAAAAUAUUAUUAAGAAAAGCUCGCUGGCAUUGGCCAAUCAAUUUUAGCAGGAUGGACUAAUCGGAAUAAUUGUAAAAGGUUUAAAACUCAAUUGGUCAAAAAAAUAAGUUAUGACUAAACUAGCACAAUUGCAAUAGGUUUAUGACUUUUUUUAGUAAUUUUCCUCUUAUUUAUCAUAAAUUCUAUUUCUUUGCAAUCAAGAUUAUCUGCGAAGAAUGAUGGAUUGAUGAGAUUUGUGGUUAUGAAGGGUAUUCGCCUACAAAAUUUCUUUCCUUGAACUAAAAGGAGGGUCUGAUCCCUCCGUGCAUAGAGAAAGGUAGAUUUGUGCCCUUGAAUCCAGCGAGGCUUAGUUUUGCUUAUCAUUUUUGUAAAUCCAAUGAGAUUUUGUUAUAUAUAUGGGGUUGCAGAGGAGGUGAUUGAAUAUAUGCAUGAUCAAGUGGCAUAGAUCAUUGUUUACUUAUUUAUCCAUAAAAUCUCACACACACUAAUCGUUUAUCGAACAACAUGCAUGGCAGACUAGAUCAGGCUUUCUGUUGCAUAAUUAUUUCCUAAUUCUCUCCGCUUGACUUUAGACCUAGCAGGAGGGCUUGAGAGAAUGUGAGUGUAUUCAUGCUUAUAAUCAAGUUUACUUAACACGAAUUCAUUGGCUUGAUGGGAUUAUUUGUAUAAGUGUAGUUACUUUAUGGAGAAGCUUGAGUUAUAUAUUAGAGAAGUAUCCGCAUUGUCUACGUGAAAAAUUUUCGAGGCUCCUUCCGUCGUAGCACUAAAUAUCUAAAGUCCAUAUGAAAACAGAAAUCUACUAUAGAAAAAGAUAUCUGCCUCUUUCUACUAGGCUUAAGCUCGUGUCCGGUUUCAUACAUCGGUCCAAAGCCCAAGCACCAAAUGGGUCCGUAGGGUCUAGCCCUCAACAUAAGCUAAGGUGAGCUCGUUCCUAAAACAUCCUAUCUUCUGGUCAUUAUUUGACGAUUUAAAGCCCAAAGGAGCAAUUAAUCCAAAAGGAAGACUUUCCCUGCUUGAGGAGCGAAGCUUCCCGCAUCUCGUAUGCUCUGAAUUUGAUUAUGCUUAUCAUUGUUUGUUGGGUGUAAAAUUUCCUUUCCAGAAAUUAUACUUUACGACACAAAUUAUUAUGCACCAACUCCACGUACAGAAUCAAUUGGAGAAUACAUAUCUACAAAAUUAUACAAUAACAGCUUUUCUCUAAGAUUGAAACACAACACUCUAAUAGCUAGAAAGGACUUCUCCUUGUUUCAAGAAUUAGAUUUGCAACGUUCUCUAGAAAAAAAUACAUAAAUAAUGUGGCCACGUAGGCUCCACCUGAGCUGAUAUUAUGCACUACUGACUAAAUAGAUUACUCAAAUGAGAAUAUUUUUACAUGCACUAAUUCCAAAAAAUCUUGACUAGACCUUAGAAUUUAGAUUGAGGGCAUGUAAAUCGCAAAAUAUGAUGAGUAUUAUAGGAUCAACGGCUGUGAUUCAUCUGAUGAGUCCGUGUAAGUAUUUGUCAUUCCAAGCAGGGAGGACGGACAAUAUUGUGAUCUUACAUGGGGAUUCUGGAAAAGGAAAAAGCGACACGACUGCAUUUUCAAAAAGCAAGAGAGGCUAAGGAUAACUAAGGAUGAAAGUAAAGUAGUGGGGACCAUAACUAUUUGGCAUUGCCUCAAAAAGGUCAAGAGAUCCAUCAAUUAGAUUGGGUUUUGGUGGAUUAUGAGUUGAUUCUAGUGCUUUGAAGCAGUGUGAAUUGGAUUCCAAAUAGAAAGCAAAAGAGGUGGAAAAAAGCAUACGUUGGUUAAAUUGAACAUCGACACCUCAUUCCAUCACUCAUCACUUUUGGAACUUGUGCCUAUGUAAGCUAUUUUGCUUUUUCUUAAAGUAUUAGACACAACAUGACCGCUUUAGCGUCCACAUUGGAACUAGCCAUCUUCUUUAAGAUUAGGAUAUCCAUUAAAAAUGACCAUGAACCUACUUUAAAGAUUCACCCACAUAAAGUCACAAUCCCUUUAUCAACUAAAAUUAAUUUUUUGAAAUUCUUUACCAUGGAGACUACGGGAGUCCGGAGCAAAAGUAAGUGACAAUGGAUGUCGACAUCGAACUUUUUCUAGUGGAAAAUAAAGCAUGCUUUUUUCUUUAUUUUUUGGGUACAGUAUUGCCGAAGGGAUAAGGCAGGUUCGUCAAAUGUAUGGCGCUUGGUCAAUUAGCUAUCCCAAGGUGGAUGUCUCCGUCGCUAAGAUUUGCAAAGCCUCAUUGAUAAUGACUCAAAUGGGCAUAGCUAAGACAGUGAACAGUCGAAAAUUAUUUGGUUACCCACGAACUUUUUAGAUGGUUGUACAAUUCCAUAUUAAAAUUAGAGUGUAAAUGUGACUUCUAUUGGUAAGGUAAGGUUUUAAAGAUUAUGGCAUUUUCACUUAAAUAAGUAUGAAAGCAGAGUACGAAGAUAAAGAGGAUGUUUCAUCUUUCAAUUGAAAAUUAAAACUGUCCAAGCACUAGAAAUCUGACCUUCAACAAGUCAGAGUACCACGGCUGGAAACAACUUAAUCCAGAAAUCGCGCAUCAUGGGGACCUCCAAAAGAAGGAAAAAAAGCACGUUAGAAACAAUUGGUGAAAGCGAAUGAUGAACCGACCGAACAACCUCUACAUAUAUGCAUAUAUUUCCAAAGAAUAACCCCGCAUGAAACAAGAAUCAUUUUCCCAGCUAGAACUAGGGAUGGCAAACAAAUAGAGAAGAUUGUGGAGCAGAUAAGAAAGCUCACAAUGAUUUUUCUUUAUGUGAGGAUUGUAGAAUCGAUAUUUCAUGGGAUUUUAAAUAGACGUGUCUACACGUGCAUACCCCUAAAUUACCAACAAAAAAAAAUGCUUACUUUAGGAAAAUGCUAACUAAAUUUGGUAACUUUUUUAUAUACACUUAUUCCUCAGAAACUAGUAGCUAUUAUGCAAAAGGUCCAUAUGACCUUAAUUUCAAAGAGAAUGUCCCACAUGACUUUAAUUAGUCAUAACAAUUUUCUUUUGUUAAUUAUUAGUCAUAAUUUUUUUCAUGUAGUCAUAAUAAAUAUAAGGAUUUAUGAAUAACAUGACAUCAUAAUUUAACAAUUAUGCUUGGCAAACGAGGUUAAACGACUUCAAUUUUUACUUAUGAAGUGAAUUUCUUCUUCUUUUCUCACUUAUAGGGAUGAUUAUGAGGGGCUCUCUUUCAACAAAUCUGUGAAAAAUUGAAGGACGAUUCAUGAAAAGUCAAAACUUAUUUUCAACUAAUGCUCAACAUUAGCUGGGUAGAGGGCUCCAAGUUGGCUCAAGUUAUAUAUGUCAAUAAAUAGAAUCUCAUCAAAAAUUGCCAUUCAAUAUAUAAAUCAAUAACACGGCCAUUUUACAUUUUAGAGCUAUUUCGAUUUGCAUACCAAUUCAAAAGUAAAACCUCAAUUUUUUUCCCAUUCAAUUAGCUUGAUUAUAAUGUUACUUCUCUAUUUUUUAAUAUGAUUUCAUGCCAACACGAGGAGUGGGCUUAGGAAUAGUACCUAAUCAAUCUCUUUGCCUUCUUUGUCCCUAAUCAUUCUUGCUUUGUUUCGCUCUUCCGUUAUUCUCUCUGUCUCUUUGUUUUUGUUUUUGUUUUUUUUUUUUUCUGGGUUCUUCUCCACUAAAAAAGAAAAUCAAAAAGAAAAAUGUAAAAUCGAUGAUACUGUUGAGGAAAAUGGGAAACAUCACAUUAAAUUCAUCUCAAGAAGUAAAAUUAUUGAUAUAAAGGUCUAAUUUGUGGUUAAAGAGCAAGAGCAAAAAAAAAAAAACACAUUAGAAAAAUCUCAUUUAUAUCAUCAUAGUAGGAGGUCCUUAGCAAGACCUUAAAAGGCUAUGACAUUCGGGAAAGACUGCAUAGAAGCGGGGAUCUAGGCCUCGAAAAACAUUCUAGCCCCAUUGCCAGACCCGGCCAUAACCCCUAUGGGGGUAGGGCUGGCAACUCUGAUCCCCGCGAUGCCUUCCCCUCUGAAACACGGAGGCAUGGUAUAGGGAAAUGAGGGGUCUCCCCUGAAAGGGGGAGGCGCCGGCCGGAAACAUCUCCCCUUUUCGGAGGGAGACCCAUCAUUUUCCUGCACCACGCCCCCAUGUUUCAAGGGGAAGGCGUCGCAGGAAUCAGGGCUGCCAGCCCACUCCCGAAGGGGUUGUAGCUGGGUCUGGCAAUGGGGCAAGUAUAUUUAUCAAGGCCUUGAUUCCAGCCUCUAUCCAGUCUUUUCUGGAUGUUAUAGCCUUUUAAAGUCUUGCUAAGGACCUAUGAGCAAGAGCAAAAAAAAAACAUUAGAAAAAUCUCAUUUAUAUCAUCAAAUGAUAAUUUUUUGAUGAUGUUCUACUUGGAAUAUGAGUGCAUCAACCUCGAACAAUCCACGUCUCUGCUGGCUCCAUCAAUUUGUCUUCUUGACUCCUUUGAAGUCAUGAUGUUGUUUUUUCUUGGAUUGCUACAAAAUUUAACAGUUAAUACUUUUGACAUUUCACACAUAAUCAAUGAUGAUAUGGACAUCCAUCUUCAAUCUUCCAUUGCUGCUUUAUUGCACCGAAAGGUGAAAUUCCCAAGACUAAAAGAGAGAGAUUCCUCUGGUGGGCCUUCCGUUCCACCGAAACCCUUGAAAAAUAGUCAGGAGGAUCUUCUAAAGUCGUUGUGAUGAUUUGGUGUAUACAUGCAUAUUCACACACAUUGCGCGAGGCUAUUCCCGCUCCCAAUUUAGCUUAAAAUCACGUCCUUUUAAGAAAAUUCAAUUAUUGAUAGACCUGCCUUUUAUUUAAAAAUAAACAAAUAUGCCUCUUCCAAUUUCUCUCUCAUCGAUUGUCUGGUCUAUUUUCUUAUUUACUACAGACAGUUGAUAAGAGUUUAUGGUUUCAAUCUUGUCAUCUACUCCUUUGAUUUCAAAGUUUUUUUCAUGUAAGAAUUUACCUAAAAAACGUCUUCAACCUAUGAAUCAUGCAAAAAAAAAAAAAAAAAGAGGCUGAUUUAUUUAAAAGAUUGGAGCAUAAGCACGUUUCGAAAUAUCAAAUUACACGUAUGCUUUCAUCGAGCUUUAGCCAUAAUUUUUUCAAUUUAUUAUGACCAAAUCUUCAAUUCUUCGAUCUAUCAUGUUCAAACUUUCAUUAUUUUGUAGAAGAGAAUAUUUCAACAAGUUAAUUUGGUAUAUUUUAUUUACGAACUUAUAAGUUAGUGACUAAUUGGUCAUAGACAAGGAUUUUGAGACAUUUAAAGUUAUUUUUCUUAUUGAUAAUUGGUUUUUCUGAAUUUAUCAUGCUAGUAAAUUUGGGAGAUCAUUGAGUGAGAGUUUCAUUUUGAGCAAUCUCAAUUUUUUUCACACUGCAUCUCUAGAGUUAUUUCAAAGUGGUGGUGCGGCCGUUUGAUAUGAAGAGAUUCAUGGAAAGGUCCCAAGCUUAAUUCAUUAGGAGCAUGUUUUCAAAUUGAAAAGCUUGCCUCGUAUUUUUAGUUUGUUUUUGAGUUUUGAUUUUGUUUGCUUUAUUCCUUAUACCUGUAGCUAGGACUUGAGAUUAUAUUACAUACCCCAUGAAUAGUUCAAGAGCAUAAAUUUUGAUAGUUUAAGAUUGAUGUCUUUCAGAUUUUGCACCGUAUUAUAUAGUUAAGGUUGCUGAUUAUAAUUCUUGAAACUAACAAAUUGUCGAGUGCUGUGAAAUAUACAUACAUACAUAUAUAUAUAUAUGUAUUGUGUGUUCUCUCAUUCUGUGUACUUGUAUUAUGGUCUUUCAUAUCCAUACGUUGCUUGUUAAAAUAUGCAUGCGGGCAAACAAUUCUCUUUACAUUCUUCAAGGAAUAUAUUCAGGGAAUAAUCAAAUCACAACUCUUAGACAUUUAGACAAAUUGUGCAUAGUGAAGUUGAAGAUCCAUCACAUCUUGUUGAAAAAUGAUGACUAAAUUACAUUUACCUUGUUCCUUGCCAAGAUCGAAUUGCAAUCACAAGAAUUUGGUGGUGUUACUUGUAGUUUGAUAAGCCAUGUUUUUGCUCACAUUGUGUUGUUUUUAAUUGGUAGUUAAAUCACGUCUUUUACAAAUGACAAGUAAUUGAAAUUAUGAGUUCCUACGAAUGAUAAGCAUUACGUGACGAAUGAUUUGAUGAUAGCAUUCGGGGCUCUUAGGUUAAACUUUUGUUUUCUAUUACAAUUUGAUUAAAAUUAUUAUUUUAAAGAAAGCAGCCAUGGAUUCUUACUGGAAUCCCAAUCCCCAUGAUUGAACCAUGCAGUCAAAAAUGGGGUCCAUAUGCCAUUAGAAGAAAGCUAUGCACGUUGCUCAUGCUUGCCUGUGGUCAUUCACUCGUGAAAGGGUUAAUAGUAAGAGAGUGAAUAAAACAGCCAAGAAUUUGCAAUAAUUUGACUAGACAUAAAAUAGUGGGAUGUCCUAUCUCCCCCUUGAGUCUACCUUAGUAUUAAUAUUACAAAAGCAUUGAUUAUUCGUCAAUGGCUUAGUAUAAGGAGCAUCAAACUCCCAAAACUUUUCUUACAAAUCUUAGUUAUUAUUAUUAUUAUUUUUUAAAUCAUAACAUUCAAAUAAUUGAAAAAAAAAAGUUAUGACACUCAAGUUUAUGUUUUUUAGAAGCCAUGGUACUCAAAUAAUUGAAAAAAAAAUGUGACCACUUUACAAAAGUCAUGACACUUCCGGUGUUUUUUAGCUAUUCUUUUUAGGAUUUUCGUCCUAUCGUUUUCUCAAUCUUUCUUUCUCAAAAGAAAAACAUUAACAGAUGCUGCCAUCGAGAAAAAUUCGAAAAAUCACAUUAAACUCAUAUCAAGAAGUAAUUGUUGAUUAAAGGGUCUAAGUUAUGGUUAAAAGAGCAAGGACAAAAGACAUUAGAAAAUUUCCAACCAUAUCAUCAUAUGGUAAUUUUUUACAACGUUCUACUUGGACUAUGAGUGCAUCAACCACGGACUAUCCACUUCUCUAGUGGCUCCAUCAAUUAAUCUUUCGACUCCUCUCUAAAGGGAAAGCCAUGAUGGCUUUUUCUUGGAAUGCUACAAAAUUUAAUUGUAAAUACUUUUUGGCCUUCGACGCAUAAUCAAUGAUGAUAUUGAUAUGCAUCUCCUAUCUUCCGCUGACAAUUGCUUCCUUGAACCGAAAGGUAAAAUUAUCAAGACUAAAGCAACAAGAUUCCUCUGGUUGACAAAUAGCUGUUGGGAUGAUUGGUGUGCACACACAUAUUUGGUGGAGCUAAUUAUGCACCCAUUUUACACGUGAUACUUUGCUAGGGUCAUUCCAAAUUUGUCUCUACGUAAUAUUUCCUUAAGAGAACCCAAGGACAAAAUGCUAGAAUAGCCAACCUCUUAUAUUUCCCCUUAUUUCACAUUUUUAGCUUGCCAUCACCUUUCUUUUGUCUCCUUAAUUUUUCCGUUUUCACAUGUAGUAUCUCUCUGUUGGAAAGAGCUUUGAAUUUGAUUAUGCUUGUCACUGUGUAUUUUGGGUGUAAAAUUUCUUUUUUGAGAAAUUAUACUUUUGAUACAAAAUUAUUCACUAAUUCACGUACAAAAUAAACAUGAGAGUCGAUAUCUAUAUAAUUAUGCAAUAACAGUCUCUUCUCUAUGCCCUGCCUCUAAGGUUGACACAUAGAAUUCUAAAUAGCUAGAAAAGACUUCUCCUUAUUUUAAGAACUGGAUUCUCAACGUUCUCCAUUAAAAAAAUGUGCCCACUUAGACUCCACCUAGGCUAAUAUUUUGCAUUACUAACUAGAUAGAUUAUUCAUAUAUCAUGAUGUACUUAUAGGCACUAAUUCCUUAUUAGCUACGUGAGUUAUACUCAAUCUAAUUACAAGGAGAUUGUCUCUCAUGACUUUAAAUUGUUUCUAUUUAGUCAAAAUGUUUUCAAACGGUCAUAAUUCAUAUAUGGGAUUAGGGGUAAAUUGACAUAUCCAACACAACAAUUUUUUAUGGGCAAGUUUGUCAUGUGAAACUAAUUAAGAGAAUUUCAACCAGCUUAAUAUUCAAAACAGAUCAGAGACCAAUAUUAUGCCUAUCUAUCAUAUGUCACUAUUAUUUUUAACGUUAUACUUAGCAUCUCUAUCUUGCACUUAUUGAAUAUUACUAUAUGAUAAUUUUAUGCUAACUUUGUCAUUUUCUUAAGAAAGGGUUCGGAAUAGAAAAUACACUACUCUUUACUAUAUAAAUUAUGCUUACAUAGCCCCAGAAUUGGAGCAAUUGGUUGGGUCAUUAGGGAUUUCCAACUUAGGAACUAGGGAUCGCUAGUUCGAAUCCCACAAACUACAUGCAAACUACUUUGGGUUGUAGUCACCUAAAUAGACCAAAGAUUUGAGUUUAACCGGUUCAUGGAAUUGGCAUGAUAUUUCAUGAGCUUCUAGGUAAAUGGCUCUCCACACUCCUACCCCUAUAUUACACACGCGUGUGCACACACAGAUUCACUUUAGGAGAAUGCUAACUUUACAUGGUAUGGCACUUACUUUAGGAGAAUGCUAAUUUUACAUGGGAUUUUUUAUAUGCACUUAUUCCUCAUAAACUAGGUAAUCAUUAUGCAUAAGAUCUAUGUCAACUUAAUUGCAAGGAGAACAUUCCUCAUGACUUUGAGGAAUAUUACCCAUCGAUCCUAAACAUAUUGUACAAAUGCCAAUUUAGUUCUAAACUUUUCGAUUUUACCAAUUUAGAGAUAAACAUUUGCACAAAAUUCCAAUAUAGUCCUUUUGGCCAAUUUCUGUUGUUGAAAUGGUUGUGUUACUUAGAAUUGUCAGUGAUUACUGGACUGCCAAAUCAAUAAUUUCAGGCAAAAAUUCAUCAAAAGGGUUUUCUUGGAAUUUUCCGUAAAUGUGUAAAACUAAAUUGACAAAAAAAAAAUUGAAAUGAUUUAAACUGAAUUAGCAUAUGUAUAAUAGAUUUUGGGACUGCUUAGAUAAUUUUCCCCAUGACUUUAAUUAGUCAUAAUAUUUUUUUUUAUAAAUUAGUCAUAACCUCCUUAAAUAGGCAAUACAAAUAUAAGGUUUAUGAGGUAAUUUGAUAUUCUAAUCUAACAAUUAUGGGUGAGUUUGAGAAAAGGAGCGAGGAUGUUAAGCAGCCACCCGGUGUUCCGGUUGAGCAAGCCAGCGAAGAAGACGCGUGAGUUUACUUUUUGCUUUUGUCCGAGUAUACGAGUAGUUAAAGAAAAUCAAUGUCGGAAUGCACUCAUUCGAGGAGCUAUGCGUAAUGACUCAGCAAGUUGCAUAUAAAGGAAACGCCUUCAUAGUUAGUGAUAUAUCCCCUUUCAACGAGAUUCACGUGGCACUCGGCAUAACAAUUUGUCAUUGUCCGAUAUGAUUGUCAUGAAAUGGGAAUACGCAAGAGUGAUUUUGAAAAAAUUCCACGAGUUCCAUAGUCACUUUGGUCGACAUCUAGUUCUAUUUGCUUACGCUUAAAUAUAUAUAUAAAAAAAAAAUUCUGCAUUUUGCUCUCCCUUGAGAAAAUUAAAAAUGGGGAAAAAUAGGUUUCAUAAAUUAUGAAAAACCAUAUAAUAACUCUACUUGUAAAUAAAUGUAUAUUUUUGAAAAUUUUAAAAAUCAACAUUUUAAAAAUAAAUUUGAAAAGGAAAAGCUCCAGACAGAACCAAACAUUUGGGAAGAAAAAAAAAGAAAAGAGGGUUUUUUUUUGGGGAGGUGGGGGGGAUGCCGGAGACUUCAAUAUGAAUGAGAGCCCACGGAGCAAAGUUAAUCCUGGCUGGCAAUAAUUUUGCAUGUUGAUUUUGUCAUGUAAAGAGUAGCAAUGGUCGCUAUGAUUUUGCGUUUUAAUAUUAUCAUCUAAAGAGUAGUAGUGUUCAAGAUAGUAAAUUAGUUUAAAAUGUUAAGAGGAUAGCAAAAAUUUAAUUUCCUCAGAAGUUCUAAUCUAACAAUUACAACUGCAGUUAUAUCUAACCUAACAAUCAUAAUUGGCUUUAUAAUCUAACAAUCAGCCUAAUUAUUAUGUUAAUUCUAAAUUUUUAACGUGAUUUCAUGGACCAGCACAAUGAGCUGGGAAGCACUAUUACCUAACCAAUGUUUGCCCAUUGGACGUGGAGGAAAAACUAGAUGCUUAAAUUAUGUUUGUCGAAAGCGGUGAAGGAAAGGAUGGAUAUCUAAUCAAUGUUUGUCCAUUGGCAUUGGAGGAAAGGAUGGUGAUUUCGACAUUGGUGUUGGUGACCUGCUCCAUGUAUUAAUAGAUUAUUUAUUAGAUUACCAUCAUUGUCUUGAUUGACGCGACCGACAACAAUCGUUUUUAAGUUUUUUUUACUUUUGGCCGGUGGAGGCUCUAAGGACUUGGAACCCUUUGCUCCCAACUUUUUAGCUUCCGAAGGAAUUGAGUGGAGUUUAUUAAAAGUCUUAACUGAGGUUAGAUUACCGAGAUCCAUAGUCCAUACACAUCCCAUCUUUCUUCCUCGUGAUUUGGGCCUUUGUUAAGAUUUUAAAUCAUUGGAACACUAGUAGUAACAUCUCAAUCGGUGUUGAUCAAAUAUUCCAGCAAAAAGUUACCAUGUCUCUUUCUCCAUUGAUUGCUCUUUGACGCCCCCCCUUCCUUCAUCUUUUCUCGCACUCGAAUUUCUUCGCCUUUUCCUCUUUCAUCAUUCUUGCUCUGUUUCACUUUUUCUUCUCCUUGCUAUGGCCCUACUCCGCCUCUUUUUCUGAAGUAUCUACGACUCUUUUUCAUCGUUCUCUCUCUCCCUCUCUUUUUCUCUCAACUUUUCCUUUUGAGGGGUUUUUAUCCGAACGUUUUCUCGCUCUUUCUUUUUUGGAAAAAAAAAAUCAAAGAAAAUGUCAGAUUGAUGCCGCUGUUGAGAAAAAUGGAAAAUUAUAUUAAACUCAAAUCAAUAAAUAAUUAUUGAUACAAAUGUUAAGAGUGCGUAACAAAAGUUUAAUCCCUUUAAUCGGAGAGGUUAUCAAGAGAAAGCUCAAGUUUGAGCUCAUUAACAUAUUCAAUUGACCCAUCUUAACUAAAAAAAAUGAGCUAAAAAGUUAUUGAUCAAUUAUGAUAUAUUAAUUGUUUAAUACGACAUCAAUUCUCCAUUGUGAAACUUUUCUAACCCAACUCAUACAUUCAUCUUAACAUUCGCCUCUCGCGUGUUGGCUUAGUAUUAUGCAUGCUUUCCCUUAAUUCAAGUAUCAUUCUCCAUUUACAUGACUCAAUUAGAAUCUCUGCUUUGGUGCGUGUGCUAACAAAAAUAACAAUAACGCCCAUCUUCAUCCCUAGUCUCUUUCUCCAAACCGAAUCAUGAAGGUUACCAUCAAGAUCACAUUUCUACACAACAACGCCCACCUUCAUUCCAAGUCUCUUUUGCUAGAUCGAACUAUGAAGGUUGCCCAAAAACUGCGUUGAUCACGAGAUUCCUUUCCUCAGAUAUUCUCCAAACAUUGGUAUACAUUGGGAUUGGCCAUUAGCUAUCAAUCAUCGGCUCUGGCAUCAUUUCUUAGGAGUGUCUAGUAGAAAUUUGAUACCGUUAACCAGAGAGAUCGCCAAAGAAAAGCCCAUGUUCGAGCUGGCCAAUAUGUUUUAUUGAAGCCAAGUUCACUCAAAAACUAGGAUAUAUUAAUUGCUGCAUACCAUACCAAUUAUCCGGUAUAAGACUUUCUAACAUAAGUCACGUGUAUAUCUCAAUAAGAAGGAUCUAACUAAUGGUUAAAAGAGUGAGAACGGAGAGAUAUUAGACAAACCCCAACCACAUCAUCAUAUGGCAAUUUUUUAUAACGUUCCACGCGGAGUAUGAAUGUGUCUACCUCAAAUCAUUCAUUUCUGUAGUGGUUCCAUCAAUUUGUCAUUUGACUCCAUUUUUUAGUGGAAGUCAUACUGAGGUUUUCUUGGAUGCUACAAACUUUAACAGUAAAUGCUUUUAGCCUCUAGCGCAUGAUCAAUGUUGAUAUUGAUAUGCAACUCCAAUUUUCCAACGAGAAUUGCUUCAUCAAAUGACUAGUGUGGCUGGUAAAAAAAAAAAGUGACUAGUGUGGGAUGUUAACAAAGAAGAGUUCCGCUAUAGCGUAACUGCACUAUCCUUUCCAAUAGCGACGGCGCAAAUGGGACCACGAGUUCUAUUAUGCUGGUAAUGCGCAACCGGAUUACAACUUUAAAAUGGGAAAUCUUUACGAGUAUCCUUAAAAUUUGUAUCCCUUUCUGAAUGAAAUGUCAGUCAAAAUGCCCUCCCUCCAAAUUGAGCACCAAGUAAAGUCAUCAAUCAUUUCUUUUCGUUUCUCUUGAAAGCAUAAAACAUUCAAUAUUAAUAUUAGUGUGCAACUAGCUUAUAACCGCACACAAUCUUGUCAUAACUAUAUACGUAUGUAUGUAUGCAAGCACACAUGAAUAUGUCUAAAAGUAUAUGCUUUUAAUUACCUCUUAUUUAGUUAGAUGUACAUCAUUAUCACAAAAAACUUUUUUUUUUCAAAGAAUUGGCAACCGGAUGAGUUUUGAAAUGACUUGCAUUUGCACUUCUGCGUUCUCUUUCAAAUGUUUUUUUUUUAAACUUUAUUAACAAAGAAAAAGCUUCACCACGUAUUGUUGCAACUGUUUCUUCCUACUUCCUCGUUAAUUGAAGAAUUAUUGUGUACAGCGGACUUAAAUAACAACGGCUCUAUACUUGGUUACCACGAAAUACUAUACAGCCUAUUAACAUAUCGUAAAAUAAAAAUAAAAAUCACCUUUAACCUCUUUCGGUUAAUUAAUCUAGUAAAAAUAAAAUGGGGGAUAUCCAAUCAUUGCAAAAUAACGUAAUAUAAGGUGUUGACUUGCAUAUUGAUUUUUUCUUUUUUGAGAAACCCCUUUUCAGAUAGGUGAAGUUCAUAUUAAAGGUAAAGUGAUUGAUGAAAAUAAUGCCAAUACCAAAACGAGACCAAAAAUAUGAUAGAGAAGGACUUUUAACACCAAAAGAAAUGGAAGUUGGGUUGUAUCGAAUAAGUAUGUAGCUUUUUUCUUUUUUUCACUAAACAGAGAGGAGAAUCAAAGUACCUAUCAUGGGCAGGGGUGUGGAGUUUAACUCUUAUAAGGAGGCUUAUGAAUUUUAUAACAAUUAUGAUAAAUAAGUAAGAUUUUGUAGUAGAGUUUCAAAAUUGUAGAAAAGGAAGAGUAGAGAGGAAAAGUGAGGCACAGUUUUUUGGGGCUAGCUCCAAAAAAAUAAAGCACCAACUUUAGUUUAAGAGACAAAUCUGACCGAAACUUUUUUUUUUUUUUUUGUCUUGUAAAAAAGCACAAAUUUUAGGUUAAGGGACAAAUCCAGCCUAAACUGUUUUUUUUGUCUCGUAAAAAAAUGUCAAUUUUCGGUUAAGUGACAAUUCUAGCUCAAGUUUUUUUUUUUCUCGUAAAAAAUUACAAACUUUCACCAUUAUUCAACUUUCUAUUUGAAGUUAACCUUGUUUCAAGAAAAAAAGGUUCUAGCCAUGAGCUUGGCGGAUCUUGUUCAUGGGGUCUCUCGAUGGGCGGUGGUCCAUAGCUUCAUUUUAAGACAAAAUGACAAAGUCUAGCCAGACUAAUUCAAUUUAGAGAUUUUUUGACUUGCUAGUGAAGUGUAGGAGAUGAUGAAUAAUUUACCGUUAUUCUCCAAGCUAUGGCUCAAACAAGAAGAUAAUGAAUAGUGUUUUAAAUCCGGCCAGCAAGUGCACAUGGAUUUAUCACUAAAAACAAUCAAUGGAUCUAAAUUAAAGGGGGCUAAAUUUAGGAUUUAAGUGAAAACUAGUGAUUUUUUUUAGACAAAAAAAGUUAGGAUCAUAAUUGUCACUCAUCCCAAAGUUAGUGUUCUUUAUGUGACAAAAAAAAAAGUUUGAGCCAAAUUUGUCACUUGACUUAAAAUUAGUGCUUUUUUACGAGACAAAAAAUAGUUUGGUUUAGAUUUGUUCAUUAACCUAAAGUUUGUGCUUAUUUUUGGAAUUAGCCUCAGUUUUUUUGCUGCAUUUGUCAAAGGCUCAAGAAAAAAAAAAUGGGUCAGUUAAGUCGAUUCAUUUGAAAAGGUUAGAAUUCAAUAUAUUUUUUUUAAUUACUCAAGCACAAAGAAUGAGAAGCCCCAAAAAUGUACAAAAAUAUCUUUAUUAGUCUAAAAACAACGGUUCUGGUGUUUUUCUUUUCUAUUUUAGAAAUAUAAGUCAUAUUUAUAAUAAAAUUAAUAAUCUCUUUUUAGUGAUAAUUUUCGUACUUGUGAUUCUUAUAUUGUAGCAUUCAAUUUCCUUCAAGUCAUUUUUCCCUUGCUUUCGUAAGGAUGGAAAUUCAAGAAAUUAAUUGGUGUUUAGUUGAGGCCUUAAUCAAGGUUAGGUUAUAGACAAGAAAAUCGAACAUGCACUCUAUUUUAGCUAAAUUUCCAUAUUGGUUAUGUCCAUAUUUUUAACCCACCAAUCAAAGAAUUGGUAAGGAUGGAAAUAAAUAAACUCUGACUUAAUAUAAACUCGCAUACAUUAAGGAAGCCAUUGCUCUCAAUUAACAAAGAAAUCCAAUGAGAUGUAAAUACUGAAUCAUUCCAAAGCAUGAGAAGAAAAUGUAACCUUAUCACUGCUGCGUCAAAUAAAUUUGUCCUUGUCUCUUUCACUUUUCCCAACCUAUAACAAUUGAAACGAGUAAUCUAAUAUCCGCCAACCUUUGUAUCACUUAUAUUAUGUUUGUGUAUAUGGGGCAGCGCACUAUCAUUUAGAUAUAGGAAAUGUGUGAUUACCUCUAUUUAAAAUCAAUUAAAUGGGAUUCCUAUCCAUGUCAAUAGUAUGCGAAUCAACCACCAAAAGAAGCAAAUCCAGACCAUGUAACUAGAGACAAUUUUUUUUUUUUUAAGAACUUCUGCGGAAUGCAAAAUACACUUGUACUUUACAAGAAAAAAAAUUAUGCUUACUUAACAUCACCAUCUUGCAAUUAUCAGACAUCAAUAAUAUUAUAAUUUUAUGUUAACACAGUCAUUUUCAAAAUGAUAUAGAAUGCAAAAUACACUCAUUCUUUAGAAUAAAAAGAAAAAAAAAAACAUGCUUACUAAAUCCCAGGAGUGACAUAGCUGAUUGGGAUGCUAGGGGAUUUCCAACUCAGGAAUAGGAGGUUGCUUGUUAGGAUCCCACAAACUGCUUUAGGUUUGAGCCAACUACACAGGCCAAAGCCCUGAGCUUAACCAAUUCAUAAAGCCUACAGGAUAUUUCAUAGAAUUAUGGGUAGAGAGGUCUCCAUACACAUGCCCCCAUAUCAUAAGAAAAAUUAUAUGCUUACAUUAAGAGUAUCCCAAAUUUAUAUGGUACUCUUUUUAUAUGCACUUAUUUCUCAUAAACUAGGUAGUUAUUAUGCAAAAGGUCCUGAUCAUAUUAAUUACAAAUAGAACUUCCCUCAUGACUUUAAUUAGUCAUCACAUUUUUUUGUUAAAAAAUUAGUCAUAAUAGUUAUAAAUAUAUGGACUUAGGCCUAAUUUGAAAUUCUAAUCUACCAAUUAUGUUGGUAAAAAGGAAACAACUUCAAUUUUUUUUUUCUUUAAAACAGAGUUCUUUUUCCCUUAAACGGAUGAUUCAAGGGGCUUUCUGUCAACAAAUAUGUGAAAAUUUUGAAUACUACAUAAAGACUCAAGAAUUAUUUUCAUCCAAUGGGCAAUAUCAAUUAGAUAUGAGGGUCUAAAUUAGCCCAAGUCUAUUUUGUCAAUACGUAGAAAACUUACAAAAAAUUGCAAUUCAACUUAUAAGUGAAUAUCAAUAAUAUAAUAAUUUUACAUUAAAAUUGUCAGUUCUUAAAAAUGAUAGAUAAUACAAAAUAUACUUAAUCUUUACAAUAAAAAUUUAUGCCUACUUAACCCCAGGAUUGGUUCAGCUAGUUGGGAUGUUAUGGGAUUUUCAGCUCAAGAACUGAAGAUCCAUUAGAACCCCACAAAUUGCGAGCAAACUACUCUAAGUUACAGCCUCUUACAUAGGUCAAAAGCCUAAGCUUAACUGAUUCAAGGAUUAUAUGAUAUUUUCUAGGCUUCUAAAUAGAUAGGUUUCUAUGCCUAUGCACUUAGAUUAUUAAAAGAAAAUGCUUACUUUGGGAGGAUGCUAAUUUUAUAUGAGAAAUUUUUCAUGUGCACUUAUUCCUCAUAAACUAGGUAGUUUUUAUGAGAAAAGGUCGUUAUCAACUUAAUUACAAAGAAUAUGUCCCUCAUCAUUUUAAAUAGUUAUAACCUUUUUUUUUGUUAGACAUUAGUCAUGGUUGGCAAAACAAUUAAACAACUUCAAUUUUUUUUCCUAUGAACUGAGGUUUUUUAUUUUAUUAUUAUUAUAAAUUUAAGACAUGAUUUGAGGGGCUUUCUGUCAGCAAAUUUAUGAAAAUUUGAAAGAUAACACAUGAAAUUAAGACUCAUUUUCAACUAAUGUUCAACAUCAAUUAGAUAUUAUGGUCUAAGUCAGCCCGAUUCUAAUAUGUCAUUAAGUAGAACAUUAUCAAAAAUUGAUCUUCAAUAUAUAAAUCAAUAACGCAGCCGGUGAAUCCAUUUUUGUGUUUAGCCGUGGAGGAAAGGAUGGUCCCUAAUGAAUGUCCAUGAGCGGCGGAGGAAAGGAUGGAGACAUAGACGUUGGUGUGGUGGCCGGUCAAUUAAUUAAAAAAUCAUCCAUUUCUCUUUAUAUAAAUGUUUUUAAAAAUAUAUAUAUAGUUCAGCCAUUUCUUUAUAUUGCUCGAUUGUUUCAUUCAUAGUUCAUUGCCUGACUGACAAGAGGACUAUGCAAGAGUCUUGGCAGUUGGGUAUUCCUUCCCAGUAAAAAUUAAUUCAUAAAAUGACAAAUAAAUUCUUAUUAAUUAUUGAUAUGACGAGUGAUGACUCUUGCAGCCUCUCAUAUCUCUUUAAAAAUAAUCUUAUAAAUGAACCAAAUGUCUGAGGAUUAGCCGACAUCCAAUAUCAUCAAUCAUGUUAGAAACUAUCAUCGAUAAAUUGUAUUAUACAUUUGGCUGAACAAAAUCGUGUUCUAUAAUUAAAAUACUAUUUUUGUACAAUCUUUGUUGGAACAUUUAUGGUACAGAAAAUUAUAUAAAAACUGCCGAUUAGUAAGGAUUUACACAUUGAAUGAUAUAUUUCCCUCUACUUUUUUGUAUGGUUGCCAGUAUAGAAAGUAAAGUUUAUUUAAGUAUCUCAGUUGGCUAAAUUCUCAUCAUGAAAGCACAAGGUCAUCAUAAUGUUUCGUGUGUUACUUGACUUUCACUGUUAUAAUGACUAAAAUGCUUAGUAGCCUGCAACAACUAAUUUCAUAUAUGUAUAUGUGUAGGCUAACCUCUUCCUGUGGAAGGUUAUAAAAGUGAAAAAAAAUUAGGGUUAUAAAUUAUCAAAAGCCACAUGACUUUAUUUGUCAAUAAUUGUAUAUUUUUGAAUAUUUUAGAACCGAUUUGUGAUAAUUGCAAUAUUUAAAAAAAACAUUAAAUGUAAAAUACUCCAAACAGACCCAAGCAUUUGAAAGAAAGGGGGGAAACUUCAAUAGGAACAAGAGAGACGCAAAAUAAUGUUAGCGGUGACUCGGGAUCGUUCCCCGUAUUAAUUUUAUCUUGGAAAGAGUAGCACUACUCAAGAAAAUAAAUUGAUUUAAAAUGUUAAUAAAGAAUGGCAAAAGUUUAAUUUACUUAGAAGUUUUGAUCUACAAUUCCAAUUCAAGUUACGUCUAAGGUAACAAUUACAAUUGACAUUAUAAUCUAACAAUUUGCUUAAUUACAAUGUUACUUCUGCAUUUUAAAUAUGAUUUCAUUGAUUCGCACAAGGAGCGACUUUAGGACUAGUACUUGAUCAAUGUUUGUCCAUUAAUGGUGGAGCUAAAGGAUGCGGAAACUUACCCAUUGGUGAUGAUGAUUGGUCAAGUUAAGAAACAAGAAAACCAUUUCUAUUACCAUAUUCAACUUUUAAUCAAAAAGUAUUGGGGGACACUGAAAGGAGAUAUCACCCAUGAUAGUAGUAAUAAUUUAUUUGCUUAUUUUGCUAGACUCACUAUGGGUUGAAAAUGAGUCUGGUGCAGACCCACGUAGGCUCACGUGGAAUUGGUGAUGCUUUUUUCAUAUCAUUUCAACUGGCUUAAAAAUUUCAAGUGUCGCACCAAAAUUUUGAUAAUGGGUUUCAGAUACAUACUGCCACCUCUAGAUGAAACUACAUGUCUUGUGGGUUUUGAUCCGUCCUCGUCCUUUUGUUCUCUUUAUUAAUUACAUUUGCUAUAGCGAAGAGUGACAAACUACAUAAAGUACCUAUUAUACAUGAGUGAUGAUUCAAAUCCAAUCAUUUUAAUAAUUGCGUUUUGAUCGAAGGUGUUAUAUACGAUUCGGAUUCUAAUCGUCACUCCAUGUUGAUUCACAAAAGUGCCCACAUACAAAUAUUGAUGAAAAUAUUAAUAUUAUGAACAAGAUUAAGGGAUAAUAUUACGAAAAAUCUUAAACUGAUACACAUGCGACAAAUUUACUUCGCAUUAAUUUUUUUAUCACAAAAAACCCCCAAACUGAUUCAAUUAUGAUAAAUUUAUUACAAACUAAUUUUUUAACCAUGAAAAAUCUCUAACUAGUACACAUGUGAUAAAUUUACUCAAAACUAAUUUUUUUACCGUCAAAAACCAUAAAUUGAUACAUUUAUGACAAAUAUACCCCCGUUAAAUUAUAUUAAUACUAGAAAAAAUUACAAAACCGAUACACUGUGACAAAUAGAGAGUAAAAUCUCAAAUUGGUAUACUUGCCAACUACCACAUGUCAUCUAAAUCAACAAUCUAACUUGAAAAUUUAACGAAAACUAACAGAUAGUAAAUUUCUCAUAGAUUUAUCAAUUCAGAGUUUUUUAUAGUUAAAAGAUUAUUUUUUUGUAAAUUUAUUAUAAGUGUACAGAUUUAAGAUUUUUUGUAGUCAAAAAAUUAAUUUGUGAUUAAUUUAUCAUGCGUACCAUAUUAAAGAUGAUAUUUGUCAAGUGCAUGGGUUGGUGUGGCCUCUCCUUAUCAAGUGGGCGCCAUUUAUUUUGCUAUUUGUUGCUCUUUCUUAAUUACAUUUUAUUAUAUCAAUCUGACACGGUAUAAAGUAUUCAUAUAAUUCUAGUCAAAUUAUUUUGUUACUUUAGAAGUUGGUAAUCAUUUGUAUUUUAUUUUUUUAAUCCACUUCAAUGAGCGUGCAAUUCAAAUAAUGCAAAGAAAUCAAUUUACUCCACAAUUGUGACGCAACGAACAACUGCCGUAAUUAAGGUACAUAUUGGUGUUUAGUUAUGGCCUCAACUAAGAUUAGAUUUUUCUAAGAUCUAAAGUCUGUUGUCCACGUGACUAGUGGAUCAUGCAUGAGUCUUGUGAGUUGGGUUUUCCUUCCCAAUGAAAAACUACUUCACAAAAUGAUAUAUGAACUCAUAUUUUUUAUUGAUAUAAAAAGGAAUGACUCUUGCAGCUUCUCAUAUAUUUUCAAAAAUCAAUUUUAUAAAAUGAACCGUGUAUCAUCAAUCAUUUUAGAAUUAUCAUCCACAGAUUGUAUCGUUGUUUAACUCAUAAAUGGAUUCCAACCUGAGUAGUGAACUAUCUUCAACCAAAAGAUAUAUCUUUUAUUUUUAUGAAAGGGGUUCAGUGGCGAUUUUAAACAUGAGUUGCAAUUGGCAUGAUAAUGAAGAUGAACAACGAAUUUAAAGGUAAAAGGUGAUAGUAAAUGUUGGAAAUUAACAUGACAUUAAAACUGAUAAAAGUACAUCAAAAAAUAUUCGGAAUCAUGAUGAUCCUUGCAAUAAUUAUAUGUUGCCAUUUUAUACUCCGCCAAUCAUAACCGCUUAUUAAGACUUAACCAUACUAGAUGCAGUUGUAACUGCAUUCCCGAGAUUUUAGGACUCCUAUCUACACAUCGAUCCUAUCCACAAGUUGUUACGACUCUUUAAGUGUCACUAGGUUAACCAUUGCUUGGUGCCCUUAUAUUUAGUCGACAUUUUCACUAUCUCCUUUCUUCUUAGUUGAUAAUUGUCGACCAGUCAUCGUGGUACAUCGACAAUGGUAUCUCUCAAUCGUCAAUAAUUACUGUCCAUUGUCAUUGAUAUGUGCUUCUAUUGUCCUUAACUUACCAAAAACCAUAUAAGUUGUCACAAACUAUAUACCCACUUAUAUCAACAUUAUGUCAUUCACAAAAACUUUAUCAUUUUUCAGUGUAAACAAUUAUACAUCUAGCUAAAGAAAAUCUAAUUAAGCGACUAUCAUGUGAUUUAAAUACAAUCUUUAUUCUAACAAUUAUGGUACAACAAAUUACAUAAAAUGUACAACCAAUCAUAUGGGAUUUACACAUUGAAUGAUAUGCUCCUGGCUACUUAUUUGUGUGGUUGCCAAUUUAGAAAGUUAACUUUACAUGAGUAUAUCCGUUGGCUAAAUUCUCAACAUGAAAGCACAAGGUCAUGGACUCAAUUUUGUAUUGCAUGCUACUCAACUUUCACUACUAUAAUGACUAAAAUGCUUAGUAUCCUGCAACAACUAAGUUCAUUUACAUAUUUACAUAAGCCAAACUCUCGUCAUGGAAGGUUGUAGACCUAUCAUGCAUUGCAUGUUGUGAUGCUACUUGACUUAUGCACCAUAUUUAUAGUGUCAUUAAUAAUUAUGUAUUUAGUCAUAUUUACUUAUGAAAAUACAUACCUGCGUAAUAUAACCCUCUUUAUAAUUUUCAUUCUAUAGAAAUUUUGUAACAAGGGAUAGUUUUUUCUCCUAUUGAUUUGCUAUCAGUUGUUUCUUUUACUUUUUAAAAUUUAUUGCAAAGCAUGUACUGUAAUUUCGUUUUUAUGAUGAUAGAUAAUUUUUUGAAUUCUCUAAUAUCAUAUAUUUGUCAAAUAUAGACAAUCAUGGACUAAAAGAUGUUUCUACAUUAAGCAUCUUAUUUAUCACAUACAUGAUAAAUAUUUAUAUUGUCGAUUUGUUAUAUAUAUUGACUAUCACAUCACGUAAUUUUUCUAAAAGUUUGUCAAUGAUAUACCUGAAGAAGGGGUGCCCAACGUCGAACGAGCGAUCAAAAAAGAUUCCGAAGCAUCUUCAUAGCACGACCCAGCAAUCAUGUUCUUUGGGGGUCCUCAGGCUAUAAAGCCGAUUUCCUUCCUUUUGGUCCGUCUGUAAAAGGCAACCAUACAUUUAUUUAAUUAUAAAAUUCGAAAGUUACUGUACACUUAGUUAUAUCUUAUUUUUGAAAUAUCUAAAGUCACGUAGUGAAUCCUAUAUAUAUAAAGUGGGUAUCCAUGCAUUAUUGAACUCCUUCGAGAGCUUGUCAAAAUUUGUAAAUCAAAAUAUUAACAGGGAUAUGUUAAAGUGGUCUUCAAAACCAAUUUGUUAAAGUGCAAAAUAGAACUGAUAUUCAAAUAAACAACAUAUGUUUAGGAAUUUGGGAUUUGUUAAAGUGACCAUUGAUAUCAAAUUGUUGAAUAAAGUUUACACGUGAUUGUGCUGGCUCAACUCUCAAGAGAGUUUUACCAUAUAUAUAUAUAGAGAUAUAUAUAUACAUAUAUAUAGAUGCUUUUCUAGUCAAAUCAAUUUAUUAAAACGACUCAAUUUGUCUACCAUUUAAAUACAAUGAGGAAAAACACAUUAAUUUAUCCAGGUCAAUCACAUGUUUUGAACAUUACCAGUCUCACAUAUGACUGAAAUAAUUUGUUAGUGAGAUUUGGUAAGUCCAAGCAAAAAGGAUUUUACCAUCCUUUAGGAAAGAGAUAUUAUCCGGUAGAGAGUAUUACUGUACUGCAUAUUAGUCGGGAAAAAGUUGUUUUCCGGGACAUUUUUCCUGACAUUCAAAGCUUACCGAAGGCUAGCUAAAAAAAAAAAAAAAAGCUUACCGAAUUACCAUCGGACAAUCCUCUAAAAAAAAAACCUUUAGGAGGACUUAUUCUGAGAAAGAAUAUAGAUGCCGUUUUCAUGUAUUUUUCUGAAGUACUCUGGAAGUUCCGAGGGACCACUUGUGCUUUUCUGCCUUGGCCAUAUGGUCCGCAUUAAAAAUUGAGUUGAUGGCAUACUGUAAAGUCACGUGGGUGCGGCCAGUCCUUGUCCAUUCAUUUUCUUAAAUCAUUACCUUUUAUUAUAUCAGUGCUGACACACUGUUUAAGUCGACUCAUUUGUUUACUGCUACUUGGACAGCUGAUGAUCAUCUCUUUCUUCCUCGAUUCAUCGCUAUUCGACGCUCCCCUUCCUUCGUCCUUCUUUCGCGCUCGAAUCUCUUCGCCUUGUUUGUCUCUCGCUUUGUUUCACUCUUUCUUCUCUUCAGCACAAUCAUUCUUCCUAUUCCUCCUCUUCUUCAGUAUCUUCUCCUUCUUUUCAUCAUUCUCUCUCUGUGUCUCUCUUUCUUUCUUGGGAAAAAAAAAUCAAAGAAAAAAUGUCGGUCGAUUCUGUCGUUUCUAUUGCGUAUGAUGUCUUCAAGAGCUAUGUAGUUGAUCCCGUCAAGCGUCGAUUCAGAUACGUGAUCUCCUCCAAGAAUUUCGCCGACGAUCUUCGGGUGGAAGUCCGGAACCUGGAGAACGAGGCUCAGAGGGUCCACAUUUUGGCAGAAGUGGCCCGAAACAACCUUCGGAAUUUCUAUGGUUACUUCCCAGAGUGGCAGCAAAGUACUGACAAGGCCUUGGAGGAGGCGGGAGACCUGUUGGGCGACAUGGGUGAGGCGAGCAAGACUUGCUGCCACGGGACUCUUCCCGACGCCAAAUGUCGCUAUCAGUUCAGCAGGAAGGCCGAGGACAAGAUCAAGGUCAUUAAGCAACUCGCUCAAAAAGGCAGCGGAUUCAAGGAAUUGAACGACAUCUCCUUCACUGAUCCUGCUCCGGGAAAUGUCACUGCUACGAAUCCAGCCAGGAGAGAAGGCGAAGAAUUCGUCCAGCCGACCCCUGCAACGGCCUCCGCUUCUUCUGCCUCGACGUCAAAUGAGCUUAGUAAGGAUGGCGUCUUCGAAUCCAGAACUGCGAUCAUAAGGGACGUAAUGGGCGCUCUUGCCGAUAACAGCAAUAGUGUGGUCGGGGUUCACGGGAUGGGUGGGGUCGGCAAGUCCACCCUUUUGGACGACGUGGUAAGCAGAAUAAGAGAAGAGAAGCGGUUCGAUCUGGUCGCCAAGGCCGACGUGUCACAAAAUCCUGACAUCAAGAGAAUUCAAAGUGUGAUUGCCCAUGCGUUGGGCCUGGACAUGAAAGAUUAUGAGUAUGAGAGCAUGCGAGCGGAUCGUCUGCGCGAGAGGUUGGGAAAUGAGGAAAAGAAGGUCCUCAUAAUACUGGACAACCUAUGGAAAGGGCUUGACUUGAAAUCUGUUGGAAUUCCUUGCGGGCAUGACAACAAAGUCAUGGGAUGCAAGUUGUUAUUGACGUCGAGAGACCGAAAUGUUUUGCAAAGGGAAAUGGGCUGCGACAAGGACUUCUUUCUUGAUAGGCUGGAGGAGAAAGAGGCAAAUAUAUUGUUUGAGAGGAUGGUGGGAGAUAAAGUUCAUAAUGAUGAGUUCAGACCCAUGGUGAAUGAAGCACUCCGCAAAUGUGCAGGUUUGCCUUUGUUAAUUGUCACAAUGGCGAAACAUUUGAAAUACGGUCGUUUGCCUGAAUGGAGGAAUGCUCUAAAUCAAAUUGAGCGGUGUUCAAACAAAGGGUUAAGUGCAGCGAUCAAUACGAUGUUGCAAUUAAGUUAUGAUCAUUUAGAAAGCGAGGAAGCGAAAAAUUUGUUACAACUCUGUGUUGCUGUUGACGUCUCUAAUCCCUCUGUUGAAGACUUGGUGAGGUAUGGCUAUGGUUUAGGGAUAUUUCAAAGAGAUAGUAGCAUAAAAGAAGCUAGAGAUGAAGUGAGUACACUCAUCCACACUCUUCAAGCCUCCUCCCUUCUGUUGGACAAUAGAGAUGACAAUGCUUUCAAGAUACAUGACUUGGUUCGUGACUUUGUUGCUCAGUUCAUUUUAAAAGAUCGGCCUCUUCUCGUGUUGGAAAAUGAAGAAAUGUUGGCAACACAAUUGUGGAGGGAGAGGCUCGAAAGUUGUAUGGCGAUAUGCUUUCCCUAUAUUGACAUGAAGGGCCUUCCCAAAGAAUUAGAUUGCCCCGAAUUGCACAUCUUUUUGCUUUUCGCCCGUAGUGGAUUUCUUGAGGUUCAAGAUUCAUAUUUCAACUCUAUGAGGAAACUUACAGUCCUAGAUCUUUCCGGAAUACAUCUCACUCAUUCACCAACCCCAUUGCAAUUCUUGGAGAACUUACAUACUCUAUGUCUUAGUAGUUGUUCACUAGAGGAUGUGGCCAUUCUCGGCAAGCUGAAAGGCCUUCAAAUUCUCAGCUUUGUGUACUCGAGAGUUGAACGAUUGCCAAAAGAAAUUGGGCAACUAGUAGAGCUGAGGUUGUUGGACUUGAACUAUUGUUCACAUCUUCAGAUAAUUGAACCGGGUGUGCUUGGAAGAUUGAUCAAAUUGGAGGAGUUGUAUAUGGAGAAUAGUUUUGAUCAAUGGAAUCCUGUGGAGCAAACUCAACCAACUAAUGCGAGUUUGAUUGAGUUGAAUCACCUGAAGAAUCUUUGCAUUCUACAUGUCUCCAUUCCCAAUCCAAGUGUGCUCCCUGAGGACCUAGAUGUCAAGAAAUUAACCAAGUACAAAAUCCGAAUAGGUUAUGCAACACGUUGGAGCAAGGACCUAGGAUCGAGGAUUUUGGACCUCAAGUUGGAUCCAACAAGUGAUGUUCUUCGAAAAGGAUGCAUACAAAGUCUCCUAAGCAAAACAGACAAUCUGUUUUUGGCCAAGUUGAACGGAAGCAAGCAAAGUAUUUGCGGAUUAUCUCAAGAAGGCUUUCCAGAAUUAAAGCAUCUGCUGGUCAUGUAUGGUUCCUCUAUCCAAUACAUCCUCCAGUGGCGUUCUGUUAGUACUUUUGAGAUGUUGGAGUCAUUAUUUCUCAUAGAGCUCAACAACUUGACAAAGAUAUGCUACAGCCAUAUUUCCUCCUCCAAGUCCUUCGGUAAAUUAAAAGUAAUUCAAGUCAAACGUUGUGACAAGAUGGAAGUUUUGUUUCCUCUUUCAUUACUGAGAGGACUUCCACAAUUAGAAGAGAUUGAAGUUGUCUAUUGCAAGUUAAUGCAUGGGAUUGUAGAUGUUGAUGAUUGUGGCAAGGUGGAGUUGCAAAAUUUGCGUAUAAUGAAAUUGCACCACUUACCAAAUAUCAAGAAUUGUUUCACCGGCGGAUCAACUCUUUCGAGCAAUACAUCAGACGACCAAGUUGGAACUCAAAUUGCAUUCUUCAAUGGGCAACGGGUAAUUUUCUAUCAAAAAAAUAUAAUUUUUAUUACUUUUUCCUACCUUGCUAAUUAGAUGCACAACAUAUCAUGUUGCUUAUUCAUUUUGUUAUUUUUAGUUUACUUCUUUCCUAAUAACCUUAUCCGUUCAUUCCUUCUUUGCAAUUAGAUAAAUCAGUCUUCAGUUUCCCUUCAUUGUGUAGAAAUCCAACUAAUUGUAUGAUAUCCAUGUAAAUUUAGUUUGUGGUAGGUUCUGAGUUAUUUUCAAUUUAAAUGCUACUAGUAUAUCUAUGUUAAUAGGGUUUAUUAAAGAAAAACUAAAGAGAAUUUCGGCACUAAAGUAAUUCCAUAAGUAAUUUUAAAUCUUUUGAUAUGGAUUUGAUUGAAUUUACUUAUCAAACUUUGUUAUUAUUCACAAAAUGGGAAGGAGGACUAGGUUUUUUCUUCUUCUUCUUCUUCUUUUAUAAAUAAAAGCAACUAGGCUAAUGUAAUUGAUGCAUGUCUUCUAUGUAUUGUGUUUAAAUAAGAAGUUAGUCAUUGUAUAGAUCCCAUAAUUAUAAGAGUACAUAGUUUUGUGCAUGUUCAUGCAUGUACAUUGUAUACAUAGAUACCUUAAUACGUACUUUUGGCAUCACAAAAACAAAUUCACAAUUUGUAUUUAAUAUCCUAUUAAAUUGGUUAUUGAUAGUGAUUUGCUAACAUUAAAGAGAAGUUAGUAAAGCAAGGAUGAUCAAUUGCUCAACUAAGAAAAGCACAUGGCUAUUUUACACGGGGAAAAUAUUGCUACGAGUGGGACCUUUUAAUUGACUAGAUAAGAUAGCCCUUUAAUAGUGGCCCAAUUAUCACUGAAGUUGAUCAUUGGCCAUGAGACUCACAAAAUAGAUUAGUUUCCCUGUCAGCAAAAAGCGGUGGAAAUUUAAGUCGUGGGUCCCACACGCUAGUGUGUGACUUCUCUUCUUCCCCUGCUUUGAGCUUCCAUGGAGAGAACGCUUUCAAAGAUAAUGGAACUACAUCAGAAAUUUUUUACAAAAAGCCUUUAUGGCUUUGCUUCUUUUUCUUUUUUACAUCAUAAUCUUGUACAGUAGAUCCUCUUAGUAUAAUCUUUACACCAAGCUUAAAGAAGAUGACAAAUCAUUCAAGCUCAACAAGGGUGAGAAAUUACAAAGUUGAUAAAGUAGUUUUGCACAAAAACAAUUAAUUGCAUUCAAUUGAAAUUGAAGGCGAUUAUUUGUAGUCUAUUCAAUUCUAGACUAGUAGGUGGAAAUAUAGUUAACAGUUAAACUAGCUUUAGUGAUAAUAUUUUAUAGGAGAUCCUUUUCCUAUAAUAUCUACACCAAGUUUAUAGAAGAUGACAAAUCAUGCAAUUUUAAAAAUGGAAGCAAUUACAGGUGAAAAUCUUUUGUUAUUUGUUUUUCAAAGAAAAUGAUGUUAGGCCACUGUAGAUAUAUUUUAUGGUCCUAUUUGCACUUAUACGGAUAAUAAUUUACUAACAUGAAAGAGAAUUAGUAAAUUAAGGAUAAACAAUGCCCUCUAUUAAGGAAAGCUCACGGCUAUAUUAUAUGGGUGAAAACUACCGCAAUUAGGGGGUUUUAUUUGAUUAGAUAAGAUAGCUCCCUUAUAGGAGCGCGGGCCCAAGGCUGGUGCCAUACGCAGUUUCCCUUGUAAGAAAGAGCGAUGGAGAUAUAAGUGGCGGGUCCCACAAGGCUGUGAUGUGAAAGUGUGACCUUUCAUCAACCCUUGCUUUUAAUAGAAACUAGAUCGCGAAAUUUUGCUUUGUAGAUUUGCCUCUUUUUUUUUUUUGGCGGUAUUCUUUGGGGCUUUUAACUUUGUGUGAUUCUAAUUCUUCAAAAAAGAGUUACUGAUGCUUUAGUACUUCUUUUUAUUUUUACUUUUGUGUAAAAUCUAGAUAUGCAAAGAUUCAUGGGUUUAUAAUGAAAUACUUCUUAAAAUUGUAAUAAGUCUCCUCCGACAUUAUAAAGUGGUGGUAGCAUACAAAGUAGUAGUUAAGGUUUGUCAAGAAUAACAAUAGACUAAUGAACGAGACACAAAAGUUAAACUUGUUGUAUAGGUGGGAGUGAGGGGUGAUGGCGAGAUACAUGGGAGUUUGAGAGUAACUUGGCAGAUGAAAGCUUUCUUAGAGUUGUAGCAAUGAACUUUCGGAAAAAAACUAGUUACUCUUUGCAGAAAAAAAAAGGAAAAGAAGAGAAUAAAUAAAGCUUUCCAUUGUCAUGGCGACCAUGGGUCUCUUCACCUUUCAGACAUGUUGAUUAACAAAAUUACAACAACAAGGAUAAUUAAUUAGGAUGGGCCACAUAUGCAUCCGACUUGAAAGGAAUACUCGAGGUAAUUUACAAAUGAUAGGGAAAAAGACGUUCAAAUAAUCUCAAGUUAUUUACUCUUUUUCAAGGAUAGUUGGGAUCUCAACCCAUGGUGAUGACUAAUGACUACUAAGUUGUUGUGAUAACCCAAUUGCUGACGUGUCUAAUUUCAUGUUGUUUGCGGGUAAAUUAGUCCUUUUUUGCCUAAUAAAUUUGGAGAAAUCAAAGACAUUUGAAAAGGAAAAGACAAUAAAAUGCCGUCUUGUUGGAUUUUAUCAAGGAAGCAGGCAAUAACAGUGUGUGAGAAGUCCUCUUGACCUAAAUGAGAAUGAGGUCACAUUCAGCUAUCAACUCCCUGUGUCCGUAGGUCACACUCAUAUACCAUUGCAAUCCCAAGGUUUAAUUUCUGAGUUGGGCUCAUAACUAGAUGAUAUAUAAUAGGCCCAAUCUUACCUGAGACCAAUGGGACAUAAGCGGCAUAUAUCUCCAUCUAAUUGUCAAAUAAUUGAUAUAAUUUGACAAUUAGAAAAAUAUUUCAUGCAGAAAUUGAUUGUUAUUAGUAACCGGAAUGAGAGCGAAUUCUUGAUGAUUGCAAUUCCUGAUAUUGCUAGUAAAAUACAAACAAAAUCCAAUUGUAAUAGUAUCCCUUUUUAUGUCGUAAAGAAAAGGUCAAGUUCAUUAGUUGUCUUUUAAGGUCAUAAAUUAGCUUUUGUUUAUCAUAGAUUUUCAUACGUGUGAAAAUUAUCCUAAAGGCUGUACAUUAUCUUGCUUAUAAAUUUCUUUGGCAACCAUUUAUAAUACCUGCUAUAUACGUAAAUUUCCUAACUGUCUUUUGUAAUUGUAAAUGCUAUGUUGAUGGAUUUGUCUGUUACAUUUCAAUCCCGUCCUUGUGGUCCUUGACAAUGGAAGGACUUCCCAAUCCAAAAGAAAUAUGUUAUCAAACUAAUUGUAUAAAAUCCUUGCAAAUUUAGUUUGUGAUAGGUUCUGAAUUAUCUCAACAUUGCAAGUAUAUUUAUAUUAAUAGGGUUUCAUCAAAACAAAAUGAAGGGAAUUAUUGGUAUUAAAGUAAUUCCAUAAGUAAAGUAAUUUAUAAUCUUUUGAAAUAUGUUCCCUUGAAUUUAGUUAUAAAAAUUUGUUAAUAUCCACAAAAUGUUUAAUAUAGGUGACUCUUAAAAAGCAAUACGAAGAAUGAGAAGGAGGACUGAAUUUUCAAAUAAAAGCAGCUACGCUAAUCUAAUUGAUGCAUGCCUUUUGUGUAUCAUGUUUAAAUAAAGCCCUUAAUCAUUGCAUAGACCCCAUAAUUGUAAGAGUACAGAAUUUUGUGCAUAGUUUUUUUUUUUUUUAUAGUAAAAGUAGGCCUUGGCAAUUGUAUGAUUUUCAUUAUGUCACAACAAACUCGUCAUUUCAAAUUCAGAAUUCUUGUUCUUGGAAUUCCUAAGUGGUAUUCAGAAUUCUUGUUAUUGGAAUUCCUAAGUGAUGUUCACCAUUUCUUUACUCCACACAGCAGAAUUUGAAAUCCCCUGUGGUAAAAGAAAUUAAUGUCUUGCUAAAUAAUUCAUGAGUAAGAUUCACCUUAAAGAUCAUCUUAUUUGGUGAUCACCCUUAGAUACUCCUUUGGUGAGAUUGGGACACAUGAAUAAGGCCGCGUCUGUAACAAUAUCAAAUAAUGGAACUUGAUACCUUAAUGGAAAAUUCAAUAUCGUGAAGUCCAGAAAAUUUUAUAGACUUACUUCAUAAGUUUCAACGGGUCUUGUAUUUCAAUUCAGCUACUUAGUAUGUGUUAGUUUAAUUUCCGAAGCUUCAAGUGUUUGACAUUAUAAUCUUCAAGAAAUUUGUGCCAAAAUUUUAGUUUUUAUUUUUUAUUUUUUUAUUGUUGAGUCCAUCCAACUUAGAUUGUAAAUUUUAUGUGGCUUCAAUAUUUUAUCAAGAAAUGGUUGCCUAGUCUCGUAGGACCAUAUGUGGUUAUUGCGGUUUCUCUUCAUGGCGAUCUACAAAUCUAAAUACCAAGUCCUUUCAACUAAGUGUCUUUGCAUUUGGCCUUUAUAGUAUUAUAGAUAUAAUUGAAUGCACUUUUGGCAUCAUGAACACAAAUUGACAUAUUUAUGUUUGAUAUCCUGUUAAAUUGGUUAUUAAUAAUGAUUUGCUAACAUUAAACUAAGGACAAAAAAUUGCCUGGUUAAGAAAAACGCACGACGAUUUUGUCCAGCAAAUGUUGAGGCGGCUACUUAGUUGACCAGAAAAGAUUGCACCCUCAUAGUGGCGAUUAGCGCUAAAGUUGAUGGCGGGGCCCAAGACUCCUGUGAUGUAUUAAUUUCCCCUCGGUCAGUAAAGGGUGCUGGACAUAUUUGUUGCGGGUCCCGCAAGGCAGUGUGUGUGAGUCUUUACGUAUUUGCUUUUUCUUAAUCGUCGUAGUCUUUAGAGCUUUUGACUUUAGCCAUAGUUCUUGGUGGACACUGGCAAUGGAUAUGAGUUGAACUCUUUUUGGGCCGAAAUUUGAGGUUGAAAGUGUUGUUGGGUUUUGCUUUAUUGUACAUAGAGAGAUGAGCAAUGCUCCACUCGCUUGUCCAUUUCCGAAGGAGAGAUUCUUCGAACGAAAUAAAACUAGCUCACUAAUCAAACUAAGCUCAGCAUUGCAAGUUAUUUAGCGAAGGAAAGAGUGGAAUUAGAAACGGCAUUAAUAUAGAGAUUUUUUUACUCCGUUUUUCUUAUUCUCUUUUUUCUUUUCCUUUGGAGCUACCUUAAUGAUCCCCCUCUCCCCUUGGCACUCGUAUGUAUUUACAUUUUGAAAGUUCAUGAAUUCAAGAUUUAAAUUAAUUGUCAAUUUCGUGAGCAAAUUCUGCAGGUUGCCUUUCAAAGAUUGGAGACAUUAGAAAUCAAUGACUUGGAUAACAUCAAAUUUAUAUUUUUCCCAUCCAUGGUUGAAUCUCUCACACAACUAAAAAAGCUGACCAUAUCGAAUUGCGAGAAGAUGGAGGCGAUCAUUAUGAAGGAAGAAGGGUUGGGAAUGGAAACAUCAGAAAUUUUGACAUUCCCGAUGUUAACCAAUUUAUGCUUAGAACGAUUGAAAAGUUUGACAUGCUUCUCUUGUGGAAAGGGUAGGAUUGAUUUUUUUGUUUUUAUCGCUAAUAAUUGUCUUGUAGAUAUGUUCUUCCCUACAAUACAAAUGGUGAUAUUCUUUUCAUCCAAUGAAAUACCAAUGACAGGUGCACGAGAGAGUCAAAAUCAAGAUCGCGUCAGAUCACGCGCCACUACUCUCUUCAAUCAAGAGGUACAUGAUUGACACUAUGUUAAAAUAUUAAAUAUAUCGGACAUAAGCAUAGCCAAGAUAAAAAUUAAGUUACUUAUAAUGUAUAUUUUGGUUAAAAUAUUUUAACAGAAAACGAGUGUCGUACAAGCUUAAGUGUUCACGGUUAUUGACAUGUAUGAGUUACAACUUCUUACUUUUAAUUUCUCUACAAAUAGUUCCCAUAAAGAUGGUUGAACAUCUCUUAUCGUACCUGCACGAAGCAUGAACAGGUAACACAAUUGCCAAAUAGGAUCUCUAAAUGCGUCUGAUGUUCCCAAAAAACUUAAAAACUCUCAUCAGCCUCACAUGUAAAUUUCCUAACCGUCCUUCAUAAUUGUAAAUGCUCUGUCAAUGGGUUUGUCCGUUAGAACAAAAUCCCAUCCUUGUCCUUGAUAAUGGAAGGACUUCCCAAUCCAAAAGAAAUAUGUCGUCAAGCUAACUGUAUAAAAUCCUUGCAAAUUUAAUUUGUGAUAGGUUCUGAGUUACCUCAAUUUAUUUAGUUUGUGAUAGGUUUUGAGUUAUCUCAAUUUACGCGUCGCAAGUAUAUCUAUAUUUAUGGGGUUUCAUCAAGACAAAUUGAAGGGAAUGUUGGCAUUGAAGUAAUUCCAUAAGUAAUUUAUAAUCUUUUGAAAUGUGUUCCAUUAAAUUUAGUAAUCAAAAUUUGUUAUUAUCCACAAAACGUAUAAUAUGGGUGACUCUCUUAGAAACCAAUACGAAGAAUGGGAAGUAGGACUAAAUUUUCAAAUAAAAGCACCUAUGCCAAUCUAAUUGAUGCAUGCCUUUCGUGUACCAUGUUUAAAUAAGCACUUAAUCAUUGCAUAUGCCCAAUAAUUGUAAGAGUAUAGAAUUUUAUAAGUUUUUUAGCAAAGGGAAGACUGGAAUUAUGGAGAUUUUUUUACUCCGUUUUUUUUAAUUAUUAUUUUCUUUGUUCUUUUCCUUUUGGGCUACUCAAUAAUCCCCCUCUCCCCUUGGCACUCACCUGUAUUUACAUCUUGAAAGUUCAUGAAUUUGAGAUUUAAAUUAACUACCGAUUCCGUGAGUGAAUUCUGCAGGUUGCCUUUCAAAGAUUGGAGACAUUAGAAAUUAGUGACUUGGAUAACAUUGGGUUUAUAUUUUUCCCAUCCAUGAUUGAAUCCCUCACACAACUAAAAAAGCUGACUGUAUCGAAUUGCAAGAAGAUGGAGGCGAUCAUUAUGGAGGAAGAAGGGUUGGGAAUGGAAACAUCAGAAUUUUUGGCAUUCCAGAUGCUAAUUGAUUUACGCUUAAAACAAUUGAACAGCUUGACAUGCUUCUCUCGUGGAAAGUGUAAGAUUGAUUUUUCAUUUUUAUUGCUAAAAAUUGUCUUGUAGAUAUAUUCAUCCCUAUAGUACAAAUGGUGGUAAUGACAGGUGUACGAGAAAGUCAAAGUCAGGAUUGCAUUAGAUCACAUGCCACAACACUAUUCAAUCAAGAGGUAUGUAAUUAACAUUAAUCAAAUUAUUAAACAUACCGGAGACAAGCAUAGCCAAGAUAAAAACUAAGUAAGUCAUUUAUUAUAUAUAUUUUGGUUAAAAAAUUUAACGGAUGAUGAGUGGUGUACAAGCAUAAUUGUUCAGAGUUGCCGAUAUGUAUGAUUUGCAAUUUCUCGCUAUUAAUUUCUCUAGAAAUAAUUUCCAUAAAGAUGGUUGAACAUCUCUUAUGGUAUAUACACAAAGCAUGAAUGAGUAAUACAAUUGCCAAAUAGGAUCUCUAAAAGCUUUCCGAUAUUACCAGUAACUUAAAACUCUCAACAACCUCACUUGUAUGGCUUAGACAUUGCAUGCAUGUACAUUGAAAGCAGUUGACAAAACAAUCGAGAGGAAAGUGAGCUAUAAGUUUCAAGAGGCUGGAGAUGAAGGGCCUUUUAAGACACUCACUUGACUUCAUUUGCACUAACAAGAUCUUCUUCUUUUUUCCUAGUUAAAGGAAGCUUUACUCUCUCUUAAUUGCAUUAGCAAAGGGAAUCGAAGCCUUCUCCGUCGCCAAACUGAGCGAGACCUCUCGGGUCUUGGGCUUCAGAUAUCACCCCUCUUAUUUUUUCCAUGAAUGGCAAGACCAUUAUUAUGGAACUUUUAUUAAAGAAAUAAAAUACAUUUUGCAAAAGCAACCAUUUUUGUUGAGUCAUUUGAAUUGUCGAGCGCAUAGCGAAAAAUGUUCCUGUGGAGAAUGAAAUAGAGCAAUGUACAGACCAGUUGACUUUGACUAAACUAAAAGCAAUAUAGGCCGUUCACCUAAAAUGUUGUCUAUGCAGCCAAAAUAGGCUGUACAAAUGGGCCCUCCCAUGGGAUUAAUACGUUGACCUUCUUAGAUAUUUUUAAUAUAUUAUAAUGAGAUAUUUAACACCAUUUUCUAUAAUUUGACUCCAGUUUAUGUAUAUGAUCUAUCGUUUGCAUAUAACUAUUAGACCUUCUAGCAUUAAUAGAAAAUCAAUUUUAAAGGAAAAUUCAAUUGAUUUAAGUAUAUAGCAGUUUGAAGUGUGGAAUGAUGUGAGUAGGAUUUGUUCAUUUGACCCAAGCGAUUCCUAUUUUAAUUGCUUUCUCGUAGCCUAACUAUGUAAUUGCUUUAUAGUGAUCUAAUAUUGAUUAGUGGCAUUCGGUAUUAGAUAAAAUCAUAUCUCUUACUGUAGUGCACCAUUUGAUGGUUGAUCUAUCACCUUUUUAAUUUCAAUCUCUCCAUCAUUUUCUUUCUAAUGCCUAAUGUUCUUCCUCAAGCGAUCCCUCAACUGCAUUCUCUAACGGUGAUUACCCAAUUGACUUGCUUUUUGUUUCUUUAACUAAAUUCUUCCUCAUACUUAAUUAAUUUACGAAAUGGUGCAGAUUCAUUGAAGAAUUUCAUCCAUAUUGUAACUAAUGUCAUUAGGUUAUUGUUAUAUGAGCGUAUUCAAAUUACCAUUUUGCCCAUAUUUAACACAUUCUGGUUAGAAUCCCUACAUAGAACUUUUUGUUUUGUCUCCGGUACAUUUCAAUAGCCUUCCCAUUCUAGAGUCAUCGACAUUGGUAUGGAGAUUUUUUUUUUUUUUUACUAUUUUCAUUUUAUUCUUUUUCUCUUUUGUGCAACUUAAGAUAGAAUUACCAAUUCCGUAAAUUUGUAAUUUACAUCUUGGCACUCUUCUUAUUUACAAUUUGAAAGUUCAUGAAUUUGUAAUUUAACUAAAUCACCAAUGCUGUGAAUACUGCAGGUUGUGUUUCCUAACUUGGAGAAAUUAUUUAUCGAGGGCAUGGAUAAAAUCGAGACAAUAUGGGAUGAUCAAAUUCCUACGAAUUCUUUCUCUAAGCUAAGAUUGCUUUCAAUGAAUGAAUGCAAAAAGCUUGUGCACGUUGUACCUUCUUUCAUUUUAGGACAGCUCUUGAGCCUGGAAAUUUUGAAGGCAAAAGCAUGUGCUUCCCUUGAAGUUAUUUUUAAACUCCAGCCACUAACUCCUCUAGAUGGAAAUAGUGUUGCUCGUUCUCCAUUAAAAGAGCUGAAGUUAAAUGAAUUAUCAAAGCUAAACUGUGUAUGGGAUAAGGAACUCUACCAUCAUAUUAAAUUCCAGUGCCUACGUUUGGUUACCCUUCAGGGAUGCACUAGGCUCACCUCUUUGUUUUCAGCCUCAAUAGCCAGAGAUCUAAUCCAACUUGGGAAUUUGGAGAUCAAUCAAUGCGGCAUUGUGGAACUCAUUGAGAAGGAAGGACCCGAUGAGUUGAGCAUCAAUGUGGAAGCCAUAGAAGGCCCAAGUCAUGGGCUAAAAGUAGCAUCAUCCUUUCCAAGUUAUUUUCAGCAUUUGAAGACUCUAGAUGUGUCAUGUUGUCAUGGGUUGUCAAAUAUGUUCACACCGACAAUGGCUAUGAAUUUGGUGGAACUCACAAGAUUGAGAAUUAGUAGAUGUGAAAUAUUAACAGAAGUCAUUAGUGAUGAGGAAGGUGGGGAGGGGCAUGUGGUGGCUUUCAAUCAAUUGAAGUAUAUGGAGCUUGAUGAGUUGACUAGGUUGAGAUAUUUUAGCUCAGGUGGAUACACUUUGACGUUCCCUCUCUUAGAAGAUAUCAUUGUGAAUAGAUGUCCUGACAUGAAGUUCUUCUUCGAGGGACCAAUGGAGGCCCCAAAGCUAGAGAGAGUACAAGUACGUUUGAAUGCAAGGUAUGAAGCAAUAAAGUACCAAUAUUUUUGGAAGGGAAACCUCAACAUGACCAUCCAAAAUAUGUUUGAAGAAAUGGUAUGCUUCAGUUGCUAAAUUCUAUGCAAUUUGAUUUUUUUUAUUAUGACCAAUAAAGUAAUUGUUUUAUUUAUUUAUUUAUAUGAUAACUAGAAUUUUAUGUUUAAUGAUGCAUCUUCUUAUAGGCUACAUUUGCUGGGAGUAAGUUUAUGCGGUUGUUGGACUUCCCGAAGCUGAUAGUAAAAUGGCACAAUGAACCUAAUCCCAUCACAUCAUCUUGGCAACCAAAAUCGCUAGUGGUGGAUAAAUGUCCAUCAUUUAUUAAUGCUAUUCCAUCUAGUUUGAUGCUUGUUUUAGACAAAUUGAGCUUUUUGCAAGUCCGUGAUUGUGAGUUGCUUGAAGAAAUAUUUGAUUUGGAAGGUUUGGAGGCUAUGGAGAGCACUAGAGUACUACCUCAGCUACAAGAAUUGAACUUGGCCAAUCUACCAAAAUUGAGGCGACUAUGGAACAAAGAUCUUCAACAAUCGAUAUGCUUCAAUUCUCUAGGUAGUCUCAUCCUUUAUAAUUGCAACAACUUGGGACAUGCUUUCGCUCCAUCGAUGGCUCGGUGCCUUGCCAAUCUUCAAAAUAUAAAAAUAAAGGAGUGUGGUCAGAUGGAGGGAGUGAUCGCAGAGGAAGAGGGGCAAGGAAGUGUAGUGGAGAAUAUUACAUUCCUAAACCUUUUGCGGAUGGAACUGAAAUGCUUGCCCAAUUUGACUUGUUUCCUAUUGGGAAAAAAUCAUAAGCUGGAAUGCCCCAAAUUACAAACGUUGAGCAUUGCCUAUUGCCCUAAGAUGAGAACUCUGAUUGGGCAGUCUUGGAUGGAGAAUGACCACAACGCCCUUUCACUUUUCACUCCCCAGGUCAGUCUUUCAAACAAAUGCAUUUUUGGCAUUUCAUUUGGAACAUAUUCUCAUAGUAUUGGACAAUGCACGGUACAAUGCAAAUUUUUUUCUUUGCGCGGGUUUAUGUACAUAAUCUUCUAAUAUUUAAUACGAAAACUAAAAAUAUUCUAAUCCUCAAUAAAUAUUACUAUUAUAUGUACAUCUCUAUAUCCUAUUAGAAGCGUUAAGUUGGUGUAAGUUCAUGCAAUCAUAUCAUGCGCAGUACUUUAGAAUUAGUUAGUGAGGUUCCUAAAAAAAGUUAUCACAAUAAAAAAAAUUAUUUUCUGCAACUUCAAUUAUAAUGAACUAAAUAGCAAAAAUAGAAUAACAUCUAAAAAUGGCAAAAAAAUAUGAAGUAUCGCCCACUUCAGAUUUUCUUGCACAGAAGCAAAUUGGCGUCAUUCUAUUAAAAAAUGAAGAAAAUGGGAAAAAGAAAACUUCAUAAUUAUAAAGCCUAGUUCACAAAUUGCUUAGCUAUUAUGAGCAUAAUCAUCUCCCCAAUCAAUGAAAUUGGAGGAAUUAGAGAGAAGUGCUCUUUCAAUUGGAGUGCUCUAAACUUCGAUAAUGAUCAGUUAGUCAACUUUUUUAUAUAUUAAUAAUCACCAAUGCUUGCACUGGGUUUUGAUUAUAAAAUAAAUAAAAAUGGAAAGGCCAAUAUGCAUGAAGUCAUUUGUCUUUUUUGUUCGUAAAUCAUACUCAAUCGCUGUACUCCAACAACCUAUCAUAUUACGUACGUGUAUUAUACAAUAAAUAUUAACUCUAAACUAUCAUAUUGAGUGAUAAUUAGUAUGAUAUUGCACACAAUCUAUGUUUAACAAGAGAAAAUACAGAUUACCUUUUUCAGAAAAAGAAAUGGCGAAAAAAAGGAAAAAAUAAAAGAGACAAAAGGAUAGCUGGAUAAUAAAUAGUAGCAAUUCUUUGGCGGUUGCCAACAUUGCAAGUCUUAUUUCGUAACUAGAUGACAAUAUUUAGUCAAUGUCCUGACUAAAAUAAAAUUAAAAAUCGGAAUAAAUUAUCCAACCAACGCCACCACAGAAGGGAAAAUAUUAGGAUUCGUAUUGAAUCAUCCGCAGAUUGACACGUGGCAACGCCGGACCCACUGCUCUCCUCUUCCUGUUAUGGCUCUGCUCCCUCACUCUCUUUCCUCAGCGAAGGUGCAUCUAUACGUGAACCACACCACCGCCUUGGCCUCCAUCAGUUGCGGUGAAAAUAGAAAAAGGAAGAAAUUAGAUCAAGUCUAUUGGGUGUUUUAGACUUUUCCCCCCUUAAGAAUUGUUCUCUCUCAGCCAUUUCGGUUCACCUUGAUCCUCCUUUUCGCAACGAGGAAAAAAAAAAGUUGAACCAAAUCUACACAGUCAAAGUAACAAUAACUCUUCUUUCUUCCCCUCGCCCCCCUUCCUCUACUUUCUUUUUUUGGGGCGAUUGAUUGGGUGGUCCGUCCAAUGGUUGAAUCGGAAGCUUCGGAAUCGCUUCUCUGAAACUCCCCUCCUCUCUGUGCGCGUGCUUCCAUGGGUUCCGAGUGAUUACGCGAACCGGAGCUUGUUGGUUAUGGUGGGUCGAAGUGGGUCUCCGAAGCGGAAGCGAUUUCGGCGAUGAUUCGGUCGGGGCGUUGAUUCUGGCGAAGAAAAAUUAAAAAAAUCUUCUCUUCAGCCCUCUCUUCCUCCUCCUUCGUCCCACAGCCGCCCGACCUCCGCCCCUCCUCCCCUAUCGCCAACGGCGGAGUCACCGGUGCCUUGAUUAGGCUGACCCCCGCUAUGUCCAAGCCGCGUAUGGCCGGCUUCCUCUGUUUUGUCCGUCUCAUCAUUCUACAGAUCUCGAAAUCUGGCCGUCCAUAGCGACGGAGUUGCAGAUCUGGAAGUUGACCACCGCCGCUCGCAGCCAUGGACGAGCCGCUGUUGCUAGAAACAUGGUUGCAGAUCUAGAAGUCCCGUCGCGAGCAACGACGGCUUAUGGACUGCCAUUGUCCCCUCCGUCGUCGCCCGCGAUUGGCUCGUGGUCGUCGCCCGUCCAGAUCUGGGCUGGAGUCGUGCCUCCAGAUCUUGCAGAUCUAGAAGUCCCGUCGCGAGCAACGACGGCUUAUGGACUGCCAUUGUCCCCUCCGUCGUCGCCCGCGAUUGGCUCGUGGUCGUCGCCCGUCCAGAUCUGGGCUGGAGUCGUGCCUCCAGAUCUAGUAUCGUCCAUGGACGCAAGCCUAGCUCGUCCAUGGCUCGCCAGGAGGCUCCUCCACAGAUCUGGCGACCGCAGCUUGUCCAUGGCCAUGAGUCUUGACGGCGAGUUUGAGAUCCCUUCGUCCAUGGACUGCGAGGUCAAACGGCGAAAGAGAGAACAGAGAAAUAGAUGUCAGGGAAGAGCGGCCAUGGACGAGAGGCGUCAUGAAUGAGUAGACCACAGAGACGAUGUAGAGGGUUGGACGCUCGGCAAUGGUCGCCUUGGACGCGACGCCGGCAACUCCGCCGGUGGCGAUGGCUGGGGGACGCGGGAAGGUUGGGCUCAAUGUGGCUGGAGAUGGAGGAGAAAGCGUAGAUGGAGAAGGAAAGUGAGGGGAAUUGAGAUUUUUUAUAUUGAGUCAUCUGACCAAAAAACAGUCAAUAUUUAGUUAAUGUUGUAGCUACAUAAAAAAAUUAAAAAAAAAAUGGACUCAAUCAUCCAGUCAACACUUCCUUUCCGUCUCAUGAAGUUCUCCUCAUGUGAAGACUAAACGCAGUAAAUGACGACCUCCUCCGGCACUUCUUUUUUUGGGUCGAAACUGAGGCACUUGAAAAUGCGCGAUAUCAUUUUUUUAUUACAGAUUCUAUACAAGUUUUUUUUUUCCCCUAACACACGAAAUCCUUUUUUUUUCCUUAUUCUAAUACUUUUGCGCAAUUCUUUCUAUCGUUUUAUACUAGUAGAAUAGAAUGUUUAAUUAUAACAAGUAUCUACACAUCUGUUUACUUUUUAAUUGUAAGAAUUAUCACUAAUUAUUUAUUUAUAAUGCCAUUUGCAUGGAUAAGUUAUUAUAUAAUACCUAGCCCCACAUUCUAAGAAUAUUUCAAAAAGUCAUUAUAACACUCAAUCAACGAUACUAAUAAAUUUGGGGAAGUAUGAAAAUAGUCACCUGAUCUUUUGGUAGUGACAAGUUGUGAUAGAAUUGUUUUCAUUUUAGUGUCAAAUAUGAGCUGUCAUAUAAUAAUUGAUUUCUCCCACAUUAUUAGAUAAUUUAAAAAACUCAUAAAAAUCCUCAAUUAAGAAUAUUGAUAGAUUUAAGGAAGUGUGGAAAGUCUUUUUUUUUUUUUUUUGUGACAAGUCGUAAUUGCAUUAAAUAUAUUUUAACCAAAUGAAAAAUAUCAAUACUUACUUUUAAAUGGACAAUUCGUCGAGG